rnacentral:lncRNA from 1 species
CUUUUUUUUUUUUUUUUUUGGUCAUAUAUUUUUAAAGCCUCUUCAUUAUCAGUUUGGACUUGAUUGACCUCUAGGUUGGACACAUGACGAUGAAUACUUACUUUGUUUGCUCUAAUUAAGGAUAAUCCCAACCAUGGAAGAAAAUGCCGAUAAUAUCGGCGAAAUAUCGCCGAUAUUAUCGGUUUUUCGGGAUGGCGAUAUUAAAAGUGGUAUCCGAAUGCUUUUCGGCCAAAUAUCGCGAUAUUAUCGAUAAUAUCGAUAAUAUCGCGAUAUUUUGGAAAUAUCGGCGAAAUAUCCAUGGACGGUGGAAUCGGAAUCCGAGGCGACGUCGGAGAAGAACGCCGGAGACGGUGGGGCGAUUCCCGGGCCGGUUUCGUCCCAAAAACCUUGCAAAAACACGAAUCUUAACAUCAAUUUCACAUAUAUACAUCAGAUUUCACGCAUGCAUAAACGAUUCAAGGCAGGGUGAAGUCGGUUUAGGGUUUAGGGUUUCAUGGAAUCUCACCUGACGAAGACGAAGACGAACGAUCCUUGCUCAGCGGCGCACCUCUGACUUCGCCUGAGCCACGAUCAACGGCGAAGGGAGAAGAGAGAUCGAGAGAUCUGUGUGUGUGUGUGUGUGUGUGUGUGUGUUUGGGAGAAGAGAGAUCGGAGAUCUCUCUUUGUAUGUGGGUGUUUGGGAGAAGAGAGAUCGGAGAAGGGAGAAGAGAGAUCGGAGAAUGGAGAAGAGAGAUCGAGAGAUCUCUGUGUGCGUGUGUGUGUUUGGCAGAAGAGAGAUCGGAGAUCUCUGUGAGUCCGAUCUCUGUGUGUGCGUGUGUUGGACUUGGAUCCGAUGUCAACCUGUGGAGCUCUCUGUGUGAGUGUGUGUGUGGGAGAAGAGAAGGGAGAAGAGAGAUCGAGAAGGAUGAUCGAGAGAGAGAGAGACUGAGGAGCUCUCUGUGUGAGUGUGUGUGUGGAAGAAGAGAAGGGAGAAGAGAGAACGAGAAGGAUCGAGAGAGAGAGAGACUGAGGUUGUCUGCGUGCGUGCGUUGUGUGUGCGUGCGAUGUGUCUUUUGAGUGUGUGGGUUCCUCCUGUCAGGAGGAUACAACUCACUCAAUAAUCCCUGACAAGUUGGGAUGGAAUCGAGCGACUCAUGGAAUCAAUCCCAGCCUCAAUCUUCAAAUGAUUUUUCUUAUGGACAACCUCAACCAAUCUCGGAUCCAUAUGGGUGGCAUAUUAACAAUUACAUGCAAAACUAUUUUGGGGAUUUAUCAUUUGAUAACUACUCUUCACAAUACACUCAUUCUACACAUAGAGAUGAUGACGAUAGUGACAAAUUAGAACCUCAUAGGAACUCUAUGUGGUACUAAAGUGUAAAAUAUUGUACUAAUUCAUUAUAUAUAAAUGAUUAUGGUGUGUUUAGACUUCUUUCAUUAAUUACUACAUAUUUUCUACACUCAUAAUGUUUGUCAGAUCGCUAUAUAAUCAACUUGAUAAUGUUAAAUCCAUCAUGCAAUGCAUUUCCUUCCAAUUUUUUGUGAUAAACUAAUAGAUAAUUGACUAAAUAAACAUCCUACAAAGUUUCAAUAAAAAUUUCCAAGUUUUUUUUACAAUUUCCAUGGUUUCCAUGUAAUUUUUAUCGAUAUCGAUAUUUUACCGAUAUUUCCAUCGAUAUUUCCGUGUUUUCGGACUACCGAUAUUUCCGAUAUCACCGAUAUUUUCUUCCUUGAUCCCAACAACAUAAUUGUUACCAUAUUGUUAUAAUGUUUCAUGGAAAAACAAUGAUAAAGGAAUGACAACUAAGUGCUAGCUAUAUGCACCUAAGAACUUAUGAUUCCAUAUACAAGAUACAAUGAAUCAAAGGCUCACAAACAAACAUGUAAAUCUUAGGUUUGAUUGACUUCGCUCCAAACUCCACAUGUUUGUUAAUUUUACCAUCUUUUCAAUGCGCCGCAUAUAUACCUUCACAAAUUUCUCAUAUAUAUUAGGGGUUAGGGUUCAUUAACCUUCGUAGGAAAAGGAAAUAAUUAAGCCACUUAAUUAUUUUGUCAAAGAAACAAGAACUAGCCAGUCCGCUUUAGUUCAUAAAACUUUUCAUUAUAUGUAGCGUCCUGAUGAGGACUAGAUUUAUAUAAAAAUCUCUUUAAAAAAAUGUUCUAAAAACAAUCAAUCCCCUCAAACAAAGAGUGAAUGAUCUUUUGUAAUCGAAAUUUUGAUUAAUAGUCGAUCAGCUUUAAUCACAAGAUCGAAGUUUUGAAGGCCAUAACGUUUCCACAUCAAAUGAAUAUAAAUUUCCAGGACAUUACAUUUAAAAGAUCAGUAAGUUUAUGGGAGGUUUAUACUAACAUAAUAAUUUUGCAAUAAAACGUGUGCUAAUUUGAGUGCAAUCGAAACGCAUACACAGACUCAUGUUCUAUUCAAAUCAUCACUGUUAUGUGAUCAUUUGGAAACAAAAUAAAACCCACAGAACACUGAAUACAAUCAAAAUACAAGAAAUAAACAUAACCUUUCAUAACGAUAUUCUAACUACAAAUGAUCUGUGGAUGGAAAUACAAAUAAAAGCACUCAAACAAACUAGCAACUAAUCGAACUUAAACCAAACACUGUGUCUAUGUUCUACACAAAUAAAAUUUAACAACAACGACAAACAAACAACAACAAAUUUAAAGCUUAAGAGAUAAAUCGAGUCCAGAAGCAUCUGUAACGGGUUCCAGAGGCUCAUGGCGGAGAACAUCAUCAGCAAUGAUUGGCCUGUUGAUUCCGAAGUUUGAACCACCAAAGUUGCGAGAAGAACCAAUUUCCUGAUCAAACCUUGAAGCACUGCUGGUUCCUGGAAUCCCUAACGUUCCACUGGGAGUAGUAUUAGCAUGAACGCCAUGAAGGUUGAGCCUAUCAAUGGAGGAUUGAAAGUUAUUAAUGAGGCCUCCUGGCCUUGAUGAUGACCAACCCCCAGCACCAAUACCAUGGCCAAAGCGCCCGAACCCGGACGUCGAGGCAGACCAUGGAUAAGAAGGCUUGUGAAUCAUGGAGUCCAUCCUAACCCCAAGAGAUCUACCAUAAGAUCCAUAGAGAGGGUGUUGAGUGAUACUUAAAUAUGGACUAUAAUAACGAUAGGAAUGUCCGAAUAGAUUGUCCAUUCCUAUUCCUCCUUGGCGCCUUUUGGCCAAGGCACGCUCUUGUUUGUGAGCGUUUUGAUGACCUCCCAAUGCUUGGGAAGUAGAGAAAUCUCUCUUGCAAAAGUUGCAUGUGAAAACCCUAGUUCGGGGUUUUCUCCCAUCACUACCACGCGGGCUCUCGCUCCUUGGCUCAUUGUGUUGAGACAAUAACCCUAAUCCCCCUGGGUUCAAUGAUGAACCCUGAUUCAGAGGGUUGAACAGAACGAGUUCGUUCGAAGACCCUGACGCAUGACCAGGGUCGUUGUUGGAAAGCUUCAGAUCAAGCAAGGCACGUGAACUUGGUGUUAGUGAUGAGGAUGAUCCGGCUGCCGGGGGUGGCUUUUUGAGUUUGGGUUGGGGUUGUUCAUCAUCAGAAUCAUCGAUGAUGAUUUUUUCUUUCAUUUUCAUCUUCAUUUUUUGGUCAGGAAGGUCAGGAGGAGGGGGAGGAGGAGGGCUAUCUUUUUUUGGUGGUGGAGUGCCAUCUGAGGCCCCUGAGAUGUUAGAGGCUUCGGAAGGGCUUUGAUGUUCUUCAGCCAUCUCCUGAACUAAUUAGAAAAGAAACUUUGGGUUUGAUGAAAAGAUUUGAAGACAUCAACUCCUUUUUAUUAAGGGUUUGAGUUAAUGCUUAUCGCUCUUGUUUGGAAAGAAAUCCCAUAUCGUAAUUGUAAUAUGCAUUAUAAUAGCAUAGGAUUAAAGUGGUGACUAAGCUUUCGCUGAGAUUUGGCUUUUGCUGAGAUUUGGCUUCAUAGCCAAGACUUUUGCCCUCACAAUAAUUAUAUCAUUCAAACAAAAAUUGCAAGUACAAUGUAAUUCCGGCUAUUUAUGUAGAUAUACAUGUCAACCUUCUAUACUGAUAAGUUUUCAUACGGGUGGCAAUAUCGACUUUUUAAGUAGCUUUAUACUGGAUUUGAACAACCAAAACCCUACUUGGUAAUAAGUUACGACCAUGCAUUGCAAAAUAAUAAUUAAUUAAUAAUAUUAUAUAGAAAAUUGGUAAACGUUCCUGUUUAACAUAAUUGCAUGUACAUCCAUCUAGUUAAGUGUAAAAUUUUAAGUGAAAAAAUGCUAGCAUCGGUUCUCCACGUAUACUACAUUAAUCAAUAAACGGGCUCAGUUGAAAAUUGCUCACGUGGCACACAACUAAUGGUGUCGAAAAAAAAAUUAACCUCCUCUUUAAUGUACGAUUAUGAUAUACAGUUUUUUUUUUUCAUGUUGUAUUAGUUAAGCAUUGUAAUUUUUCUUGAAUCAAUAUUAUACCGUUCAUAAAAAAAACAAUAAUAAAAGUAUUUAGUAGUUUGAUCAUAACAAAUGUAUUAUAUCAUCAAAUGGUCACAAAUAAAUCCCUCUUCCUCUAGUUUUGGGCUUGAAAGAAAUAAACUUGAUCGAUUACAAUGAAACAUUUAAAAUCUCUUAGUUAAAAAAUAUUAAAAGAUAAAUAAUUUAUUAAACAAGGAUAAAAAAAAUUAAAUAAAUAAAUAACAGAGACAAGUUAAAAAAUUGUUCAACAGCAGCAGUAAAAAAUAUAUUGCAUUGAACUAUUAAUUUACCCCUUCAUUAUAAUUACCAUGUUACAUUUCCAAUCAAGAGUUCAAACUUUGAAGGUUGUUUUUCCUUCUACCUAGUUUGGCUUUAGCACAAAUCAUGCAACUUAUUACUGGGAAAAAAAAUUAAACAGAAAAUCCAGCUUUGAUUACAUUAGAUAUGACAAGGUAUUAAUUUUGAAGGUUGUGAGUUGUAUGAAGAUAAGUUCAAGAAUUUAACCAAACACUUGCAGGUAAUUUCCAUAUCCAUAGGUUAAUGCAUGCACAGUGAAAACUAGUUGUCACUAACGUUCGUAUCCCAAAAAGAUAGUAUGUAUAUUUCCUAAAACGUAUCAAUAGUAUUCAUUGUAAACAUGGAAUUAAGAUCUAUGUACAUCAACUUAUUUGCCUUCCAAUUCCGAAGGAUAAACUGUGUCCUUUAUUGGUUUAUGAAAUUUUGAAAUAUCACGACUGUUCGAAUGUUUGUUUUAUAAAUUCUAUAUUUUCUUUAAGAAAGGGUUUAAAUUGUAAUAAAUAUUAGGCUGCUAAGAAAAUGGAAGAAUAUGAAAUAGAAUUUAACUUUUGUGAUCUGUGUGCCAUAAGAGGUGUUCCAUACAACCAUGGAUUCAAAAAGUUGGGUUUAAUUUAGACCAUUUUCGUUAGAACAAGUAAUUAAUCAAGACUGUCCAAUCAAAUGGAUGCCAUGUUUGCCAACCUUCUAUUCUGAGUGUUAUAUGGGUGGCAAUCAGUGCAUCGAAUUUUUAAGUAGCUUGUACUGGAUUUGAACCUGGAAACUGAACUUGGUAAUAAGUAAUUACUGCGUGCAUGGAAACCAAGAAUGUUAUGUACAUUCCUCUUCAAGUCAUUUUGAGCGUGUAAAUCGCACUCCACUCAUAAUAUCAAAAGUUAAAUGUUAUGAAGUCAUAUUUGACGUCAAAUGUGGUGAUGCAAGUUAUUUCAUCUCCAAUGUAUACGGAGUCAAAUUUGACCCUUAAUUUACCAAACACUAUAACACAGCUUCUUUUUGCUAAAAGCACUUUCAUAAUUAUAGUUUACUAAAUAUUUUACUUCUUUAUUUCACAGUUAAUUAUUCUCACAACACAACAUAAGCAUUUUUUCAAGCACGGUAAUAUCAAAGUAGCCCGAACAAUAAAAUUAACGAUUUUGAGAAAAGAAAAAAAAACAAUAAAAUUAACGGAAAUGGACAGCUUGAACGACAUUAAUGUCCGACAGUAAAAUGUAUCAAUCUUCAACUUUAAAACCAAAAGAAUGAUACACGUCAAUUUCACCCUUUGUGAUAAAGUAUUUUUGUUUGGUCUAAUGUUGCUUGUCUCGGUGUGGGCUUCCUUGUACUGUUUUGGCAUCUUUGCCGUGAAGUGUUAUUCUCAGUUUCUGAAAAAAAAUCUAUAUGAAUUGAAAUGUUUGAACUUGUUAGCCCAUACGUAGUUUAGUGAUACCACAUUUCAAGUACACCUCUACUUGUAAGAAGAUUUAAGCUACAUAUAAGUACAUUGAGUCGUCGAUUGGAAAAUAUAAGAUAGUCUCAUUCUUACAUCCAUUUUUACCUCCCACACACUCUUGUUAAUUUUACGUGAUUGAUACUCAAUCCAUCGUAUCCUGCGGCCGAAAAUUGCGAGAUGUGUAAGAAGUCAAAAUGGGUGUGUGUUUAGCACUACCCAAAAUAUAUUUGCAAAAUGCUUAUCACCAUCGCUUACUCCCCAUCGUACAUAUACAUACCAUAUUGCAAUUAGAGAGAGCACAAGGAUUACCAAACCAAUUACUUGGCAUAUUAUAUUGUCACGUUUCCAAAACGUCAAGAACAGAUCGUAGGGGAGACCCCCAAGAGCAUUCACAAAUGUUGAGCUCUCCAAUCCACUGCAAAAUUCUCAUCCGUAUCAAUAUCACUCGAUGACUCACCGUGGCUAGACUCCUUUUUUACAACCUCUGAAAGUCUCCUACGCUUCGCAGCAAUGGCAGCCUUCAGUGCCAUUUUUUUCUUCUUCAACAAUUCCACUUUUUCCCUAUAUGCCCUGAAAAACAAAAGGAGAACGAAGGUAAAAACUAACAGCAAAGAAAAUUGAGUUGCAAAAAACAAAUGAAUGUUUAGAACGACAGCACUUUAUUGCUGCAUUCACCUUUGCUCCACUGAUUCAGCCUCUUCUAUCGUCUCACCAGCAUCAAUCUGCAGCACAAUUAAAACAACCAAAGAAUUAUGAGUAUGCACAAGUCGACAUCCACGUAAUGUAGUAAAAAAAAACUAAGUGAACAAUGCAAGGACAUGAAAACCCUCACCUCCUCUUCUUCCAGACGAUUAUCGACCUCCUUCAAGUCCUCUUGUAUCAACUACUCAAAUUCUCUGUACUCAUCUCUGCAAUACAGUAAAUACAAACUCAAGGUCACAAUGUUUUCAUAAACCUAAGAGACUCGAUAUAUUAUGUACAAAAUGCCAAAACUAUAAAUCUCAAAUAACAAACUUCCCACACAACUCUUAAAUUUAGUUUUGGGAAAUUAUCAUAGUAAAUGGUUGAAACUUGUUAUAAAAAAGCAUGUUAUGCAUCAAGAACAGACAUCAAAUUAUGAUAUCACCAAUGAAGGGAGCCAUACAAGAUUCCCAAGAUAUGAAUACAGAACAUUCCUCCCCCCCCCCCCCAACGCCCUCCUCUCUCUCUCUCUCUCUCUCUCUCUCUCUCUCCAUAUUAUACAUCAAGAACACACAUCCAAAUUAUGAAACAUUAAACCCUUCCAGAGGUCAUUUUAUCAUGAACAAUAUAUUACCAGAAUUUGUGAACUUCCAAGUCUAUCUAGAAUGGCAUUUGAACAGUUGCAAGGACUUCAUACUAGACUAAAGAAAAUGAAAACAAGGAAGAGAACUUUCAAGAAAUAGCACCUUUAAAAUAUAGGACUUAAUGAAAAAUGUUCACUUACUUAACAUCUUGCUUACCAGGCUUUAUUCCUCGUGCAGAUAAAUCAGCUUCCUUGUUGUCAAAGAAGCCUUCAGGAAGAGCUCCCUUUAUUUGCUUGGCCUCUGAACUGGCAAUCUGUGAUGAUGUCUGUGUAAGGUCCCUGGCAGGCUCAAUAUUUCUUGUCUGCACUGUUUCCCUUCCUAAGAUGAUAUUGUUAAGUCAGAAAGAAAGAAUAAUAGAUAUCAUUAAAAGAAAACGAUCGACAGUUCAAAACUAAUCCCAAAAUAAUGCAAAUAUGAAUCCUCAAAGAUUUUCUGUUCUGGUAUUGUGCUUAUGACCCAAAUUACAUUUUAGGCUUCAGUUAACUAUCGUUUUGACAUACACUAUAUUAUCGUAAAAAUAAUAAAAAUAAAUAAAUCUCUGUUCAAACUGAUAUUGUCCUUUGGCAAUCACACAAAGCAAUGAGAAGGUGCUAACAGUCAUAUAGAAAAACAUAUAGGUUUCGUAUUCUCACCUGUAUUUUGCUUUUUUGCAUCAUGGUUAUCAAAAAAAUCAGGAGGCAGCUCAGAUGACGACUGCUUUCUAGGCAAUUCUGUAGAGCGUUCAGGUCCUGGUAUAUGCAACUCCACAGAAUGUUCAGGCUUAGAUUUUGGCAAUUCCGGACCGGCUUCAGCUUUUGUAUUGUUGACUUGGUUUAGUCCAGCAGAUGUAGCUUUGAAAUUACUUAGUGCCUAUUGCAAUAUAACCAUUCUGUUAGUAAUACUCAUUCAGAUACAUAUAUUAAAGAAAAAGAAUAAGGAACCAAUCUAAGAUUAAAUGUAAGUUGAACGGUAAUGUCACCUACUUCCCAGGCCCAUCACAGUUUCAAGCCUAGAAAGUGUAAAGAAGGAAAUGCUUUAUCUUUCGGCCAAAUAUGGAUUAAAUGCAAGUUGACGAAUGGGACAUCCAAUCCAUAUUAGUAUGCGAUGUAGGAACCAAACAACAUCAGUUAUUGCCUGCAAUUAGUAAAUGGGAUAGGCCCUAAGCUUCUGAUGGAAAAGUUAGACAAAAUAAUUAAAAUAAAUAACAAAACCACAUUUGAGAAGCUAAAAUAGUCAGGUUGAAUUCAGCAGUAUUUUAAUGUUUCAAGAUCACAAUACAUGAUUUGAUUGAGAUCAAAUGAGUUAAUUAGUUAUAUUUCAAGAAGCCGGUAAAAUGCUGCAGUAACCCUUUCAUGUUAUUUCAAAAAAUUGCAUCCUUCGUAUCAACUUCAAAUUUUCUACGAUACAAGAUGUUUGUUAAGGUCUCUUAGUUUCUUAAUUUUAUAAAUAGGGAAGUACUAUAUGAACAAUUAUCACCUCACGAUGUUUACGAGAUGCUUGAUGCGCAUCCCAUUGGUAUUCAGAUUUCAGAGUAAUGUCACAAACCCUGCACUCAGGCUAGUCAGAUUCAUUGUACCUGCAUGUAUCACAAAAAAGGACAGAAAGAAGCAGUCAGAAACUCUGGCUUAGCAAGUUAUAUAUGCCAACACGAGAACGGAACCAGUAAUAAGCAAAAGGUUCAAAUAAAAGGUACAGCAACGAUGACAUACAUAACAAAAUGGUGGAAAUAAACAAUGUCAACAUAAAUCUCUUUGGUUCAAGAUGCAUUCUGAGAAAAUAUAAGUUAGACAGUAUUUUCUCAGCUAAAUUCUAUUCCUAACUAAACCAGUUCCCAUGAGUUUCCUUUCAAAUCAUAAGUUUCGUACAAAGAAGAAACGGACUGCCAAACCAAAUUCGUACUUUGUACUUCAUAAACUAAAAGCUUUUGACACGAUCAAAUUCCGAGAACACAAUUUUUAACCACACACAUCAAUUGAGCAUUCAAGAAUAUGGCGAUCAAAUUCCUACUUUCUACAGACUGCAAUUGAAACACAAAAUUUACGAAAAGCGUUCUUUAAUAAUGAUAACUACAUUACACUGAAACUCCAUAACCUCUAGUUUUAAAUUCUUCAGGAAAAAUCUAUACCCCAAUGACAAUAUAUACAUAUACAUAUAUACACACUGAGGAAAAAAAAAAAUUGAAGAGAGAAGGCGUGGGUACUGACCGUACGAGAAGAGAUGCGCUUGUCGUUCUUCUGGGCAUUCAAUUUCGCACGAAACAGCGCCUUGUUCCUGCCUUUAGCAUACAUCUCUUAUAUCUAUGAAUUAUAUCUCCAUCGAAGGAUGAGAGAGGAUUCGGAGGUGGCUGAGAGCUCAGUGACGGAGUUUUACGAAGGCGACGGGGAUAUGAGGGCGCGGGUGACUGAGGACUCGGUGAGGAGGGCGGUGGAGGAAGGCGGAGCGAGAGACAGAGAGAGAACGAUACAGGAGGAAGGGUUAGGACGUGCGGCGCGGAGAUAGUAAUCAGGUGUGUGAAGGACUGUUGUUUUUUCCUGCCAAACAGCCACUGUCAUUUUCCAAAAAAACAUAAAAAUAAAAAAAUCAGCCACUGCCUUCCCGCCACGUGACAAAAUCGAAUAAGCAUCAGGUACGGUUGGGACGUACGGUGUGGAUUUUAGUAAUCAGUUGUGUGAAGGAGUGUUGAAUCCGGAUCCCUACCGUGAUCUCAUCCGUUCAUUAUACAUCGUGCGGUCAAAAAUUAUUUUAAAAUUUAAAAUUAAAUAUAAAUAGUAUCUAACAAAAACUGACCGCACGAUAUAUGAUGAACGGAUUAGAGCACGGGAUCCUUAAGAAAAUGAUCCAGUGAAAAUCAUUUUCUUGUUGAAUGAACAAUGUUUUAGAGUGGCAAGUGGUUAUUUAUCACAGUAAUAAAAAUGAAUGUUACUUUUGCAUCACAAUGUAAGUUCGAACUUCUUUAAUUCUCUAAUUUAACAUUUGAUUUAAUAAAUCUAUCGGUUUGACAAAAAGAAAAACAAUGUUUUAGAUAAUCAACACUUCGUAAUAAUCUAAAAAAAAAUAUACUUUCGAAAGUGAGAUUUUUUAUAGACUCUUUUCCAAUUAUGUUUUUUAGACAAUAUUUGAUAAUGUUGGAGCAAGCCUUAAAGUUAAAUUAUGAAGUGGUAGAGCGUCGAUGGAGAGUCAUAUUUCGAGAGAGUAUUCUUACAAUUUCUCAUAAUCUAAUCAUCAGCAAUUACAUCGAAACUAAAAUGUCCUAUACAAUAGAAUAAUGGGAGAUUUAACGAAAAACCCGCGAUACUAUUCACUUUAACGAAAAAUCAUAUUUUUACACUUAAAAGUAAAACAUAUACUAUUCAUUUGAUCCUUUAUUUUAUCUUUAUUGUUAAAACUCAAAGUUUUCAAAUCUUUUCCUUUGAAUUAAACUAAAAUCAUACGUGGCACAAUCCCAGCAUUGAAGAUCAAACGGUCAAGAUUGUAUAGCCAAGUACAAUCAUGCGUGUACUUUGAAUAAUACCUAUCAUCAGAAAGUGACAUGUGGAGCGGUGCUUCAAUGUCCUAGGUCCAACACCGUGAGUCUAUCCGAUCCUUAAUAUUAUCAUCUCUCUCUGCUUAUGUUUCUAUUUCCUCCAACUCGUACGGUCGGAUAUUCCGUUGGAACCAAAAAAACCAGUUUAAUCUGUUUGUAUUUUUCUUAUUAUUAUAUAUAUUUUUAAUUUUAUUUCAGAAGAAAUAAAAAAACGUUUCGGAUCUGAGGGGGGGUGCGAUGGAUUUUACACGACAAUGAUGAAAGCAGCAAUCAUUCUUCUGCGGCUCUGAAAAUUCGAUUCUCUUUCGGUUUCCCUGUAGUUUUGCCUUUUCGAUUUAAUUAAUGCUUCAAAUCUGACGCCAUGAGGAAGAAGCUCGAUACCCGUUUUCCUGCUGUAAGUACCCUCUUACUCUCGCUCGUUCCGUUCCUUUGUCUAGGGUUUAUGUUUUUUUUCUCAGAUCGAGUUUUAAUUUGUUUGGUUGCUAGGAAAUUAGGGAAAGGAAGAGAAAUUUUGGAUUGUUGUAGGUUUGCUGUGCUAAUCGUGGGUUUAAUUAGGGGGAUUAAUGAAUUAUGUUUCGGUGCUUUGAAUUGUUUGGUUAAAGUUUCAAUUUUUUGGGGGAUUUUUGAGAUAUUUGAUCUGGGUCGGGUUUUUCUAGGCCGUAUUGUUCUUUUCUUUGAUGGGACUAUGGUUUUAGGGAGAAUUGGGUGAUGGGUUUGUUGUUUUGGGGUUAUCUGAUUUGGUCUUGGGAUUUGGUUCAUAUCGAUGAUUUCGCCUAGGGUUUGUAAAUUGGUACUUGAAUCAUUGGGGUUUUGUUUGUGGAGAUAAACUUGCUUAGUUGCUCUUGUGGUGAUGUGGUUUUGCAAAUAGGUCAAGAUUAGUUGAUGACUUGUGAGGCCCCUGAGGGCUAAAUCUGGUCUUGUUUUAUUAAAUAUUCCUUUCAAAUGAGAAGUUGGAUUUGGGUUUGGAUUAUUUUUCAAGAUUGUAAAACAACUAGAGGAUUUUAUUUCGUGGGGUGUUAUAAAACCGAAGCUUACACUUCCUCAACUACUUUGUUAUCCAUAUACUACACAUGGUUCAAGAGUAGCUCUGUAACUGUAAGGCGCUGGCCAAGGCGAUCAAGAGUUGUGAAUCUUAUGUUUGAAACUUUCUUAAAGAAAAAAAAAGGAAGGAAUGGAAGAAACAUUUUUUUUCUUAUGCAGAUUUAGCUAUGCAUUGGUAACUUCAUGAUUGAAAAUUUGAAUGAGUGACAUACAGUUUGGUACUUUAUGAAGUGCUGCUGCAUGUCGUUUCAGUAUUUAAUUGUUCUCUUAUGUGGAGACCAAGAUGGGAUUAACCUCUCCAUAUAAUAUUAAUCGUGUAUCUGCAUGUGUAAAUUGUGUGUGAAGACUGAAAUAUGAAAGAACAGAUUCCUCUUUUAUACUUUUUGUAUAGCACCUUUGUUUACACUUCAGAGAAAGAGAUUGUGUCAAGAAUCAUGGUUUAUGCUGUUGUUUGCCAUCGUUGUUUACCUUUCCGUGACUUUUCUUUAGCUUAAUACCGGCAAAAGGGGGGAAGAGAGAGAGAGAGAGAGAGAGAGAGAGAUUAACAUUUUGUUGGUUAUUAGUCCUUCAUGUAGCAAAUAUCAUUUAAAUUACCCCGAGUUUCUUUGAUGUUUCGUGUGCCAAGUGUGGGAUUAUGUUAUAUAGGAUUUCUUUGAUAGCACUUGCCAUUUACCCUUAGAGUGUCCACGUAGGGGAUGCAAUAAAUUUUGGAGAACCCCAUAUCUUUGAGUGAAGUAUGUUGAUGAACCUUUUUUUUUUCUUUAGAAGUAGUAAUUAAGUAACUCCGCCUAUGUAAGUUUAUCUUACAUGGCCGGUCCCAAGCCCGGGUAAAGGAGGAGGGGGAGGGCGUCAGGUAGUCGACAGCCGGCACUCCACAGUUACGUCGAAUCCUUAUAAGAAGUAGUAAUUAAGUUAUUUGCCUUGUGCUUCCUAUUUGAAGAAUGAUGAAUGAUGUUUAGUUUAUUAACACUAGUUUAGCUCUGAAGUUAUACAUCUAUCUGACCCCCAUUCUGAAACACAAUUUUAAUCUGGCAGGCCCGGAUUAAAAAGAUUAUGCAAGCUGAUGAAGAUGUUGGGAAGAUAGCAUUAGCAGUGCCUGUUUUAGUGUGUGAGUACUUCUAACUUCUGGAAUAGUAAAAUAGCAUCCCACCAGGUUAUUUGUUUUGCUUUUUGGGUUGCUUAUGCUACUCAUCUUGCAUAUUAUGCAGCUAAAGCGUUGGAGCUAUUCUUGCAAGACCUUUGUGACCGUACCUAUGAGAUAACCCUCCAAAGAGGAGCCAAAACCAUGAAUGCAGUGCAUCUGUAAGUCAAAGAUUGAACGAUGUUUAUCCGUUUACUUAUUUAGUUUUAAGGGACUAAUACAAAAUAAAUUUAUAGUAAAGUACUACAACAGUAGUGAAAUGAUUACUCCAAUUGUACAGUAAAAACCUGAACCAGAAACUGCAGUUUCAAUUUGCACAAUUAGAGAGAAAUGCUCUAUUUUUAAAGUCUUUAGAACCUUAUUCCCACAAUGAAUUUUAGAAGUGCACUCUCUAUUCCACAAUUAACAACCUCCUUCUCAGCUUCAAAAAUCCUAAAGAUAGGUUAAAAAAAUUCUCAAUGAGCAGACAAAAACGAAAGAGCGAGAAUCACCCAAUUUAACCUUUUGCAGUGCAGCAGAAUGAUAGAGGAAUAUUAGAACAAGGUUAUGUGCAAAAUUUAGGUUUCCUGCUUUGAAUAUCAGAACAAGUAUUAAUUUUUAGACAUAUCAAAGUAAUAAUGUGUACUUUGCAAGGUAGUCUAUCUUUCCAAAUCAUUUUGGAUGGUCAUCAGUCAACCCAUUAGAACAGAGUUUACAUGGGAAUAUUCUGUAAUUCUAGAAGAGUCAAUUUACCCAUCUUUUAUGGUAUUUUCAAUGAAAUAUAGAAAAGAAGAGAGCAUCAAUCUCAACAUCACUUAAAUUUCUUCAGAUCCAGCCAAAUAAUUAGCAAUUGUAUAUUUUGGACGGAUGACAACCUCAGAAGACAUGGAUAUAAAUGAAAUUAUGAGAGAAUGAAUUGGAUUCCUUUAGCAUCGAACCUUUAAAUUAGAAUUCUCCUACCCAUUAGCAUCGACACAGUACGUUGGAUAGUAACAUGCUAUAAUUCUACGAUGAUCAAGUAAGCCGUAGUUCCUAGAUACAAUUUUUUAUUUUUUCAGGAUAAGUACAACAUUAUUAGAGAAAUCCACAUCAACAGUAACAUGGAGUUGGUAUACUGAACUUUAUUGCAGAGCUCAUGCCGAAGAAUGAUCUAAUUGCCUAAGGAGAGAUAUGGUUAUAUUUUCUAGUACCUGAUUAAAUAUGUUUAAGCUUAUGCCGUUCAAAUUUUCUGGCACUUGAAGAAUCUUUCUGAAGAAAGAAAGAUUCUUUCUUUCUUAUAGCCGACCCCACUUAGUGGGAAAAGGCUUUGUUGUUGUUGUUGUUGUUGUUGUUGAAGAAUCUUUCUGAAACUAAAUUAAGAUUAUCUAGUUGUAAUAUUCACUCAAAUUUGUUUUACUGCAUUAUCUUUUAAAGAAAAUUUUGCACCAGAGUUGAAUAUAAAGUGCCCUGUGUCUCCCAGUUACAUGAGCCAAAUCUUAUUUCUCUAUCCUGUUUGCAGAAAGCACUGUGUACAGAGCUAUAAUGUGUUUGAUUUUCUGAGGGACAUCGUCAGCAGAGUUCCUGACUAUACUCAUGGUCAUUCUGAUGCUGCUGCCGAUGACCGAGCCCUUUCAAAAAGAAGGUAUAUUAGAUGAUCUAUUCUUGUUAUUUCGCAAUAUCCUUAAUCCAUGAGAUUGUCAUUUGAAUCUACUUACUGAUAUAUUUUUCUGCAGAAAACCACCAGGUGAUGAAGGCAUUGACAGUGAUGAAGAAUUGAAGAGGAGCAAGAUGGUAACUUUAAUGGAACCCUACAAUUAAUCAUUAUCUUUUGUUCUUAACAUAAAACCAAUUUCCUUUUGCAAAAAGAAAAAACAUAAAACCAACUUCCACACACAUUGGGUGAUUACCUUCUCUUUGAAAAUGGCUUGUUUUUCUUCUUUUAGAUUCCACCAUCUAGUCCUUGGGCACUUCCAAGUCUUGUUCUUUUGUCUUACUCUUUUGAUAUGUACAUCCAUCACCAACAAGCGAUGUUGAUUAGCCACGCUCUCUCCUGGUAUAACUUUGCAAUCCUUACAAGUUAUACGAUCCCCUUUCCUCAUUAGAAGAAAAUCUAUUUGUGUUUUUGACAACCCACUCUUGUAGGUGAUCACAUGUUCUUCUCUCUUCUUAAAAAAGGUGUUGGCUAAGAAGAGAUCAUAUGCCAUUGCAAAAUCCAAGAUAGCUUCCCCAUCCUCGUUUCUCUCCCCAAAACCAUGGCCACCAUGAAAACCUCCAUAGUUGCCUGUCUCCCUGCCCACGUGUCCAUUUAAAUCUCCUCCUAUAAAUAACUUCUCCAUCUGAGCAAUUCCUUGCACCAAGUCUCCAAGAUCUUCCCAAAAUUUCUCCUUCGAACUCGUAUCCAACCCUACUUGAGGUGCGUACGCACUAAUCACAUUGAUAAGUUCUUGUCCUAUUACAAUCUUGAUUGCCAUGAUUCUAUCUCCUACCCUCUUGACAUCUACAACAUCUUGUACCAAGGUCUUAUCCACGAUGAUGCCAACACCGUUUCUCGUUCUAUUUGUGCCCGAAUACCAAAGUUUAAACCCUGAGUUUUCUAGAUCCUUUGCCUUACUACCAACCCACUUAGUUUCUUGUAGGCACAUAAUAUUUAUCCUUCUCCUCACCAUAACUUCCACACUACUUCCAUAGAUUUUCCCGUUAAGGUUCCUAUAUUCCACGUUCCUAAACGCAUUUUGCUCUCUCUUGAACUCUACCCUUCUGUCCUAGCUUAUUCACCCUCCCCCGUCUAAUAGGAUCAAAGUACUUCUUUUGUGUGUCCCGGGUAAAGUUGAUAGGAGCAUAUGCUCCCAAACAACUUUGAGUGGAGUCGUUCGAAAAGAAGUUUCUAUGGCCCCCUUGCUCAUUUAACACUGCAUCCGGGUGCCGAUGGAGAUACAGCGACCCUUGCUCACUUAUCACUGUGCUCGGGCCACACAGCGCGCCACUUACGGGUGACGCCCUAGCUUUAGCGCGAUUUUGUUCUGGAUUCAUUUUCAUAAGGAUUCGACGUGAUCAUGGAGUGCCGGCUGUCGACUACCUGACGCCCUCCCCCUCCUCCUUUAUCCGGGCUUGGGACCGGCCAUGUAAGACAUAGGCGGAGUUAGAUUAAAGAGUUCCUUGGUGUAUGCUUUUCGCAGACGAUAUAGUGUUGAUAGAUGAAACUCAGGAAGGGGUAAAUGCAAAGCUUAAUCUUUGGAGAGAAGUGUUGGAAUUUAAAGGUCUUCGCCUAAGCCGAUCAAAGACAGAAUAUAUGGAGUGCAAGUUCAGUGCAAAUGGAGGCCAAAACGAGUUAGGGGUGAGGAUCGGAGAUCAAGAAAUACCAAAGAGCGACCGUUUUCGUUACCUAGGAUCUAUCUUGCAAAAGAACGGAGAAUUAGAUGGAGAUCUCAACCAUAGAAUACAAGCUGGAUAGAUGAAGUGGAAGAGUGCAUCCGGCGUGUUGUGUGACCGUCGUAUGCCACUGAAGCUCAAGGGAAAAUUUUAUAGGACGGCAAUAAGGCCGGCGAUGCUGUAUGGCACAGAAUGUUGGGCGGUGAAACAUCAACACGUACACAAAAUGGGUGUAGCGGAGAUGAGGAUGCUUCGUUGGAUGUGUGGGCACACGAGAGAAAGGAUAAGAUUAGGAAUGAGGAUAUCCGGGGUAAAGUAGGAGUAGCCGAAAUUGAAGGAAAGAUGAGAGAAAAUCGGUUACGGUGGUUUGGACAUGUGCAAAGAAGGCCUACUGACGCUCCGAUUAGAAGAUGCGACUAUGGGACAGAGGUUCAGGGCCGAAGGGGGUAGAGGAAGACCUAGGAAAACUUUGGAAGAGACUCUAAGAAAAGACUUAGAGUACUUGGAUCUAACGAAGGACAUGACACAGGAUCGAGCACAAUGGCGUUCUAAGAUUCAUGUAGCCGAUCCCACUCAGUGACUUGGAUUUUCCAAGUCUCCAACCGAGAAGUUUUCCUCACUCGGGAAAUUAAGGGAACACUACCCCAACCUACAUGCUCCACUCAGAAAGUUUCAAACAUACAAGCUUCAACAAAAGAAAAUUCAAAGAACUUAGCGAAGAAGGCUUUGGUGUAUUUAACACAAUACGUUGAAAUGAAGGAAAGCUUAUUUAUUGAUAUCCCCGAUAAGCUACAAAUAUGUACAUAUACAUGAGUCAAAAUAAACACACAAGAGGGAGCCUUCACAAAGGUUGCUUAGGAGAAGUCUCAGCAGUCGGUAGAGCCCCAGAAAGAGAAGGCACCGGAGGGGGAUCAUUUGGAGCCUCAGUACUGGACAGAACCCUAGAAGGAGGAGGCAUCAGAGGUUGAUCAUUUGGAGCUUCAUUACGCGGUACAGUCCCAGAAGACGAAGGCAAUAAAUGCCUUUGGAACAAACCCACAAAUCUCUGAUGAUCAAGUAAAACCUGACCAUCAGUUUCCUUCAUCUGGUCAAGCUUCCUCUUCAUGUUUGUAGCAUAGUCAUGUGCGAGCCGGUGCAACUGUUUAUUCUCAUGCUUGAGCCCUCUAAUCUCCUGUUUGAGACUCAUCACUUCAGCCGCCAAUGAUUCAACUUGGCGGGUUCGAGCAAAUAGGCGUUGGGCCAUAUUAGAUACAGAACCUGCACACUGAACACUGAGAGCCAGCGAAUCCUUAACAGCUAACUCAUCAGACCGUUUGGAAAGUAGUCUGUUAUCUUUGGGAGUGAGAAGGUUCCUGGCCACCACCGCAGCGGUCAUCAUAUCAUUCUUCAUCACGGAAUCCCCAACGGUAAGAGGACCAGUAGGGGAGACGAAGGAUGGGCGCCAUAUGUUGUCUGGAGAAGGCGGGGCUGCCUCUUCAACAAGGUUCAAGUCAAAACGACGGUCGGAGGGGCCAGACAUUUUCAAAGGUGUUGAAGAGAGAAGAGGUCGGACAAAUCAAGAUCCUAGAAGUGCAAGAAUGAAGCUUCUACUGGUGGAGAUUCAAGUGUGCUUUGGAACUUAAUGCCAGCCCCUAUAAAAAUCUGCACUCGACGGAGCUUCAGAAAUCGAAGAGGCGCCUGCUCAGAAAUCGAAGAGGCGUUUGCUUUCUCAAAAGCUGGGCUGCUUAGAGAUAACGAGGGUUGAUCUCAGAAAUCGAAAAGGCGUUUGCUUUCUCAAAAGUUGGGCUGCUCAAAGACCACGAAGGUCGAUCUCAGAAAUCGAAGAGGCGCUCGCUUUCUCAAAAGCUAGGCUCCCCAGAGACCACGAGGGCCGAUCUCAGAAAUCGAAGAGGCACCUACUUUUCCAGCCUUGUCAGCACCUGUCACACGCACACUCAGCUUUGUGGAAAUUAUGGGCAUUCUGUCAAAGACUUCUGGGGAGGUAGAAAACACAUGAAUCUUACUGUUCAAUCACCCACUUCCCACACGCAACAAUAGCUCAUGGGUACCAUAGAUAACUUUGCCAAAGUUCUCUGCCAAAGUUGAGCACGUGAAGCUUGCAGCUCCCACUACAUCGCUCUGACCAAGAAGGGUAAAAGAAUAGCAAAGAAACAGCACUAACAAAGUUUAGACCCAUAAAUUUUGAAGGUCUAGCUACCAUAUUAUUACCCACAAGGGUAAAGGAACAGUACCACUGCUGGAUAAUUGGAAAGUCCCUGUGUGUCAACCUCUGUGCUUCGUGGCAAGGUAGACUAGCAAACAUGCCCAACCUUUACUCACAUUCGAGAAAAACACUCCCAAUAAGAUUGCUUGCUCCAAAAUCGAAGAGGCACCGUCCUUCGAAUCUCGAGAGCCAGACUCCCAACAUGACUACUUUCUUAAAAAUCGAAGAGAGGGUAAAGGAACAGUACCAUUGCUGGAUAAUUGGAAAGUCCCUGUGUGUCAACCUCUGUGCUUCGUGGCAAGGUAGACUAGCAAACAUGCCCAACCUUUACUCACAUUCGAGAAAACACUCCCAACAAGAUUGCUUGCUCCAAAAUCGAAGAGGCAUCGCCCUCCGAAUCUCGAGAGCUAGACUCCCAACAUGAUUACUUUCUCAAAAAUCGAAGAGACACUGCUCCCCGAAUCUCGAGAGCCAGACCCCCAGCAUGAUUGCUUUCUAAAAAAUCGAUGAGGCAUCGUUCUCCGAAUCAAUCGAAGAGGCGCUCGCUUUCUCAAAAGCUGGGCUGCUCAGAGACCACGAGGGCCGAUCUCAGAAACCAAAGAGGUACCUACUUUUCCAGCCUUGUCAGCACCUAUCACACGCACACUCAGCUUUGCAGAAAUUAUGGGCAUUCUGUCGAAGACUUCUGGUGAAGUAGAAAGCACAUGAAUCUUACUGUUCAAUCACCCACUUCCCACACGCAACAAUAGCUCAUGGGUACCACAGAUAACUUUGCCAAAGUUCUCUGCCAAAGUUGAGCACGUGAAGCUUGCAGCUUCCACUACAUCGCUCUGACCAAGAAAGGUAAAAGAAUAGCAAAGAAACAGCACUAACAAAGUUUAGACAUAUAAAUUUUGAAGGUCUAGCUACCAUAUUAUUACCCACAAGGGUAAAGGAACAGUACCACUGCUGGAUAAUUGGAAAGUCCCUGUGUGUCAACCUCUGUGCUUCGUGGCAAGGUAGACUAGCAAACAUGCCCAACCUUUACUCACAUUCGAGAAAACACUCCCAACAAGAUUGCUUGCUCCAAAAUCGAAGAGGCACCGUCCUCCGAAUCUCGAGAGCCAGACUCCCAACAUGACUACUUUCUCAAAAUCGAAGAGAGGGUAAAGGAACAGUACCAUUGCUGGAUAAUUGGAAAGUCCCUGUGUGUCAACCUUUGUGCUUCGUGGCAAGGUAGACUAGUAAACAUGCCCAACCUUUACUCACAUUCGAGACAACACUCCCAACAAGAUUGCUUGCUCCAAAAUCGAAGAGGCACCACCCUCCGAAUCUCGAGAGCCAGACUCCCAACAUGAUUACUUCCUCAAAAAUCGAAGAGACACUGCUCUCCGAAUCUCGAGAGUCAGACCCCCAUCAUGAUUGCUUUCUCAAAAAUCGAAGAGGCAUCGUUCUCCGAAUCUCGAGAGCCAGAUACGACAGACCACUUUUUCAAAGUGCUCUGACAGAGUUAAAACAGGUGAAACUGGCAGCUCCCACUACCGUGCUAUGACCAAGCAGGGUAAAGGAAUAGCAUUACUACUUGUUGUUAGGGAGACUCCUAUAUAUGUCGACCUCCAUCCCCAACGGACAGGCAGACCUGCAAAAAUGCUCAACCCUUCAUCAUAUCUGAGAGGGCACUCCCAACGAAGUCUUUCGAAAUAUUCAGCUUUCUUUCCCCCCGAUAAUACCUCUGCAAACAAGCUAUACUAGAGCAAGAAUAUCUCAUAUCAUCAGGGUUAAAAGCAAGAGUAUCCCAUAUCAUGCUUUUUCUCUGUCUUUUCUUUUGGCCUUGUUUUUACCUGCAAGACAAGGAGAAAGAGAGCAAUCAGUCAGCACUUGGAAUCAAGCUUCCAGCCAGGAACUGACUGCCUGGAACCCCUUACCUGAUUACUUACCUGGCAUUGCUCUCGAGUACUCAUCCUCAACAUCUUAUGUUUCUAGGGAAGAUUCCGCAUCUGCUUGAGGAACAGAUAGGGCAAGUGCGAAGGAUACAAGGAAGCAUGUGGAGACAAGCGUAACAGCACACGUGCCGAUACAUCCAUUACUCUGUCAAAAGCAAAAGUAUCCCAUAUCAGCAGGGUGGAACGUACUCUAGAUUUGAUGGACUUGUUUUGACCCUCAAAUUCUUCAGUCGGCCUUAUACUCUGGAGGAAACCAGAAAACCCUCCAGCUCAGUUCAAGAAUAAGCCUGUUGAAAGUUACUUCUUCAAAAGCAAAAGUAUCUCAUAUCAUCUCUUCUCAUUUUUCUUCUCUUUAUCCUUCAUGCAUGCUGCUGCAAGAUGGGGAGAAGGUGAACAAUCAGUCGGAGCUCUGAUUGCUUACCUUGUCUGUCACCUCUUUCAGCAGACCCCCUAGCUCGGCGACUUGGGGGACUCCUACUACAUGGUUUGUAUCGCGCUUGACCAAGCCUGAAACUACAAGUAAGGUUCAAGUGAAAUUGAUACAUUACCUUGUGCAUCUCCACCAGUUAAAGAUACCACCCCUGGAUGGAGGAAGAGUACUUCCAGAGAAGAUGCCAUAUCUACCUAUGAGACAGAUAAGGCAAGUUAAGACGACACCACACUUCGAUACUUAGAAGUUUCGUGAUUACGAGAUCAUUCUCCCACAAUAUUUCCUAAUGUCAUUUGUACUAAAUCAUUCACUUGUACUCACUAAAGGAGAGCUUGAACCUAUGUACUUCUGUAAACCCUUCACAAUUAAUGAGAACUCUUCUAUUCCGUGGACGUAGCCAAUCUGGGUGAACCACGUACAUCUUGUGUUUGCUUUCCUAUUUCUAUCCAUUUAUAUACUUAUCCACACUAAUGACCGGAGACAUCUAGCGAAGAUCACAAAAAAACGACCGUUUUCGCUACCUAGGAUCUAUCUUGCAAGAGAACGGAGAAUUAGAUGGAGAUUUCAACCAUAGAAUACGAGCUGGAUGGAAAGAGUGCAUCCGGCGUGUUGUGUGACCGUCGUAGGCCACUGAAGCUCAAGGGAAAAUUUUAUAGGACGGCAAUAAGGCCAGCGAUGUUGUAUGGCAUAAAAUGUUGGGUGGUGAAGCAUCAACACGUACACAAAAUGGGUGUAGCGGAGAUGAGGAUGCUUCGUGGGAUGUGUGGGCACACGAGAAAGGAUAAGAUUGGGAAUGAGGAUAUCCGAGGUAAAGUAGGAGUAGCCGAAAUUGUAGGUAAGAUGAGAGAAAAUCGGCUCCGGUGAUUUGGACAUGUGCAAAGAAGGCCGACUGACGCUCCGGUUCGAAGAUGUGACUACGGGACAGAGGUUCAGGGCCGAAGGGGUAGAGGAAGACCUAGGAAAACUUUGGAAGAGACUCUAAGAAAAGACUUAGAGUACUUGGAUCUAACGGAGGACAUGACACAAAACCGAGCGCAAUGGCGUUCUAGGAUUCAUAUAGCCGACCCCACUUAGUGGGAAAAGGCUUUGUUGUUGUUGUUGUUGUUGUUGAACUCUUUAAUCUAAGUGAUGUCUCUUUUGGUUUCUUUAGGAUGUCCAGGUUGAAGACAUAAAUAUUUUGUGAAUUUAUAUAUACAAGUUUGAAUAGAGGAUCCGAGUUGGUUUUGUUUGUGCUUGGGCUGAAUUAGCUGUUAACUAAAUGCAAUAUGCAGAGUUUCACUGUUGUCAAAAACUUUAUUUUACUUUUUCUCUGCAGCUUGAGAUAAAAAAUAGCAGCAGCAGCGGCAGAGGAAGAGGCCGAGGACGGGGUCGAGGCCGUGGACGUGGUCGGACCACUGAAAGAGACACUUCGCACCAUGAGACUGAAUCUGAUCCGUGCACAUCUCUUCGGCAGAUCACUGAACCUAAUCCAAACCCUGGAAUGGUGGUGGAUGAUGUUUCCGAGUCAAAGGAUAUAUUGAAAGAAAAUGCCAUUGCACCUGAUGAAUCCGAUCCAGCAGUUAGAAACUUUGAUCUGAAUGCCGAAGUUAAUGAUGCUGAGGACAUAAAAGCUGCCGCAACAGCAGCCCAAGCCGCCGCAACAGCAGCCCAAGCUUCCGCAACAGUAGCCCAAGCUGCGGCAACUGCAUCCCAAGCUGCCCCAACAGCAUCCCAAGCUGCCCCAACGGCAUCCCAAGCUGCCCCAACGGCAGCUCAAGCCUCAUCAGCUGGACCUAUCUCCGAGCCUAAACAUGAAGAAUAUCCUGGGUGGUCUCUCUCUGAUGUGGAUGGAAUGGCCAUUGAUCCUGUUCAACUUGCAAAUCUCAGCAGAAGGCUAGACGAGGAUGAGGAAGAUUAUGACGAAGAGGGCUAAAUUCCACUCGAUGGCUUAUUGUCCCAAAGAAGGGUAGCGGGAUCAAGAUCAGUGGAAAGCUCUUGAAGGAAAACUAAAUAAAAGUAUACAAAAGCUGGAAUAGCGACCUAAAUGGAGAUGAAAUGGCCCGUGCACUUUGUCCCAACGAAGAGUCCGAAUUUCUCUUCCUGUCCAAUGUUAGCAUCGUAGCAUUUCCUAACAUCCAUUUCCAGAGGUAGCAUUUCCGUGACGAUGGCAGAGAGGAUAGCCUCUGCAAAUUGACUCUUAGCAGUGUAUGAAGAAUAUGGCACCCUUGAAUAGCGGUGGAUUGCCCUAUGAGUGGUUUGCCUUUUUAAUUUACUGUGUUUGUUAUAGAUUUUCAGUACAAGUAGUAGCUUGCUCGUCGUUAUCGCGUGGAAGGUAAUAGUUCUGUUAGCCCUUUCAAUUAAUCUUCUGACCAGUGAAUUGGAUUUUCUUUUCCUUUCCUUCUCUUGCUCUUUUAAGAAGUUCCGCAACGAGAUGCAUACGCGUUGCUAAUAGUUUGCAUAAUUUCAAUGGUGGUGAAGAUUCGGCAGCGAUGUGUUUCUGCCGUGCCGAUAACAUAACGUGUCUGUUUCUUCCAUGGUUCAUCCUAAGGAAACCCUGGUGCCUCAAAUAUUAUUUGUAUAUAUUAUUUGCAAAUCUAAAUGUUUCCUGAAAGGUUUCUGGAUGGAAUGGUUUGGAAGUAUGGAGUUUGGAUUUUGAAAGCUAGCCAUACAAAUAUUAGAUAUAUUUGUGCUGCAUUCGAAACUGGUAUUGAAAUUUCUUGCUUGGAGUCGAAGUUGAAAACAUUUAGGAGACGCUACGCGUACCUGCACCCGCCAAAGGUUAAUGGGUAGGGUUUGUGUGAGUGAAAUGACGAGAACCUCUCGAUCGAUUGAGAGGUUAGAACUAAAUGAUGCAUGCCUAUACGAGAGGUUUUUUAACCAAUUCAGAAAGUCACUUGAUCACUUGAUCCUGUAUAUAUGAGGAAGAUUGUGCAUGAUACUGACGGUAGGUGUUGAGCCAAGUGCUUAAUGAAGAUAGCAUACCACCUAUUCGAAUUUUUAUUUUAACAAGCAAUAGUAUCUACAUUAAGCGGAUGAAGGAGUAGAUUAAGUCUUACAUUGGGUUACUCGUAGUAAUAUGGUUCAACUUCGUCUUUGACGAGAAUUAAAUCUAAAACCUCUCACAAUUUCUAAUAAUAAAAAUAAAAAAAAUAAAAAAAUCCUAAGACUUUUCACUUACAAGUGAAGUAAAAUACCGCUGGACCGUAAUACUAGCACCGCCAAUUGAAAUUAAUGAACAGAAAAAGGAUGGAAAAGAAAGAAGAAGAAAAUAGGGAUGGGCAAUAGACUUAUAAUACCUUAUAAUAUAGAUACAAAUUGGAAAACCGAGUACAUCACUAGUGACCAGGUUUUGUUAUUGAUUACGACACAAAAGAAACACUGAACAGCAACCAACCAUGUAUAUACACCACAAUUUGCCAUGACACAAAUUCAAGGUAACUUCAUUAUUCUUAAUUCUUACGUACUUCGACUUUAAACUUCUCUUCCUUGCCUCCCUUGUUGCACCUUUAGAAGCAUGUUGAACUUUGCUUUCUCGUCUGUCCCCUGCUUUCACAAUGUGAACACGUUAAAAUAAGCAAAAGUUCGAAUCAACCGAUCUUGCAAAUGUUUAACCAUAUAUAUCACAGCAUUUGAGCGAAUCUAACAUGUUGAAUGUACAAAACUCAAUUAUCUGAAAGAAAAAAAGAAGCUGUAAUAAACAAAACAAACUUCAUUGAAUUACCAGGAAGCUCGUGAGCAUGACAAAGAUUUAAAUGCAAAUUUGGGAACAAAAAUACAAAUUUUAAUCAUCUGAACCAUUCAAACACUAGGGUUCCAUUUGGUUGUAACGUUUUGAAAUGAGACUUCGAUCGUCUAUAAGGCUACAAAUAUGGCAUCUCAACCCCUAAGUUUUUAACAGUUUCGUUACUUUACUGACCUUUCUUUUCAACAAGAAGAUAAACAGUCUCCUUCUUGACCUUCCCAACUAUGAAAUAAGAAGAAUACAUGAAAUGCCCACUACCAUGAGGAAACUAAAAUUAAUUUGGAAAUGUAAUAGCUAGGAACUACUCAAGAGUCAAGAAAAAGGAGUAUAUUCGAGGUUGCACCCAAAGAAGAAAAGGAUCCCAAGGAACUAAAAGCUCCUCCUAGACACUUACAAUAUGAGUUCACAAACGUCACCUGGUUGAGAGCACUAAACAAGAUGAGAUGAUGUGACUGCAUCAACCAGACUGAAUGAUAUUCUUAGAAAGCUUGGACUUGACAGUUUUUUAGACAAAUAUCAUUUGCAAAGAUGAAGAGAAAAUGACGGUAAGGCUAAUAAAACAACCAAACAAAAUUCAUGGCCUAAGAUGCAUACUUUUAAUGUCUGGAUUCCCUUUCAGUGGAUAUACACGGUUAAGAUAAGAAAGCAAGGUCCGAGUCUUCAAAUUGUGGGAUUCGAAUUGGAUUUUUUGGCCUACAUUGCUUAUAAUUGAGUCAUAGAAAUGUUAAACUCUUUCUUAAACAGUCAAAUUUACAUGCGUAAGCAAACGAAAUUAAGCUUUGUUCAUGUUAAUUGCUUCCACAGACACUUAGGUCUUUCCGUGAACACCCCGUUAAAUCUCUCAAAUAGAGUUAUCAUUCCAGUAAUGUUCCAAAAUAUCACUCAUAAUAAAGUUGAAUAAAGAACCUGACAUUAUCAGCAUAAAUCCAAAUCUAAUAUAUAUGCUUCUAUCCAUAUCGACCCCAAAAAGUAAAAGACAGAUCAAAACAACCAAAACCUACCCCAAAUCAAAUACACAAUUCUCCAAAACUAAGUAAACAGUACACUUGUAAUUAUUUAGCUUAAAAUAAUGGAAGGGCAGAAACCUUGGAGACGAACAAACUAGGAGUCAGAAACAAGCUUGAACUCCUGCACUUGCUUGAAGUGCUCCCAUGGCUUUACCCACACCUUGGCUUCAUAAACCUUCUUCUUUCCGCCAUCUGUGACCUCGAUUUUCAGAUAAUGCAUAGUGCCCGAAACCACUUGUACCUUAUCAUCCAAUACCCUUACAAACUCAAGCAGAGUAUUCUGCACAAUAUUCAAUUGAUCAAUCAAUUUAUAAAUUAGGACUCUUUUCUAGGAAGCACUUCUGCUCAUAAGCACUUGUAUAAAAAGUUCUUUCAUUAGAAAGUCAUAAACUUCUUUAAAAAUCCAAGCACUUCAUGAAGAAACUGCUUCUAUGACUCGGUAGUUAUCCAAUUAAUCAAUCAAUUUCUUAGUUAUGGAUCUUUUCUAGGAAUCACUUUUGCUCAUAAGCACUUAUGUCAAAAGUUCUUUCAUUACAAAACCAUUGAAAUUUUCAUAAAAAAAUCCAGGAUAGUGCCACACCCAUGUUUGCCUCCCACGUCCCCUUAUUAAUUUUCGAGCAUUAAUCUUCUUCAAUUCAUUCUAUCCAACAGAAAAAAAUUAAGAGGGGGUGUCUGUGAAGUAAAAAAGGGGUGCGGUAGCACUACCCAAAAUCCAAACGACUCCCCCUUCCUGAAAAAGCACUUGGAAGCACUUCAUAAAGAAGCAUCCGGCAAGUGCUUCUCUAGAAAGUGCUUCUACGACAUCGCAAACAGGACCGAUCAAUCAAAAACCAUCCACAAUUUAAAUCAGAAACAAAAAGGGUACGGAAAUGGAAGGUACCUCCUUCUUGUUGUGUUCAUCGACGGCGUAGCGAGCAAGGCUUUCGGUCUCGACGCUGUUGGCGGAACCUUGGUUAUCGCGGAUUGUACCAACGGCGGCCAUGUUUGAUUCUGCGGCGAGCUCUGUAUGUACUUCGGAAUUGGAUUUGAUUUUUGUAUGCAGAAGAAGAAGAGUUUUGUGGCUAUUAAUACACACCCUCUCAAGGACGAAGACUCCGCCGACGCGCUUGACAAGGAAAAUUCGCCCUGUCGAUCCUCUGGUAUCGUGACACGUGGCGAAUCUUUUUGUUAUCCGUUUCUUCCUCUGUAAGGUUUUGUUUUCUUUUUGUUAGUUUAUUGUUUUUUUGUUACGAGAAAGGCUUAAUCUAUAAGUUUUGAAGACGACUUUUUUGUAUGUAGUUUAUGUCUUGUUAAUGUGCAUCACUGUAUUACCGUAUUAGUGACUGUUAAAAUUAGAAUUCCAAUUCUCGAAAAGUAAUCUUGUAUUUACAUUGAGAAAUUAAACAUUAUUUUCUCAUGCGGUUGUGCUACAAAUAAAAAUGAGUGGUGUUAUGACCAUCCCAUUAUCUUAUCUCAUCACCCACAUUAUAUUCACACCCUCUUUAAAAAACGUAAAAACACAUAAACUCUUUCCUCACCCACCAUUAUUCCUAAAAUAACCCUACAUCUUUAUUCUUCAAAUUUUUCUUGCUUUAAAAAAGUACAAUUAUCAUUAAACAAAAUUCUGCAACUACAAAAAUCCCCAUAAUAGUCGCACUAACCCUCUAAACCCUAGCCAUGCCGCCACCACCACCCUUGAAAACCCUAUCCUAAAUGUACCAGCACCGUCAAAACUACACCGCACCAAUAACCAACGCCCCGCCUCAGUCACCAACCAUCGCAGCAGCACCACGUCCCCAAACCGCUCUGGUAGUCAGCAGCACCAUGAGUCCCUUAAACCCUGAACCAGUCUAUUCUCGAGCCUCUCCAUUCUUGAUUGGUGUUUGCCAGCUAGAGCAAGUAACAUCCAUAUGAGAUGUAUGUGAAUACCUCUAUUCGACAAGAUUUCGAAUAACUUGGACGAAAAUGAUUAAAUCUGUAAACCCUAAUAAAGGAUUAUCCAGGGAAAUGGGACCUUGAAUCCGAUUGGAUUUUUUAUUGGGUUGAUUGUUGUAGAGGCAGUGGAGAUUACUGAGAGAGCCCGGCAACACCGCCGUGAGGGAAUAAGGCUAAGGGGAUUAUAGGGGUCAUAAUUGGGGAGGGCUUUUUAGUGUUUUUCCUUCUUUUUUUUCUCAUUUUUUUUUAUUUAGGUUUUAAACUUUCAAGUAUAUAACUAAUAAUUAGGUGCCAAGACAUGAUUGGUUGGUCUUUAGACCUUUGAAGGUCAUUUUACACAAGGGUAAAUUUGGCAAUAAAAUUAUGAGUUCAAGGUGAGUAGGGAAAUAAGACAAAGGGGUGGGCUUAACAGUACUCAAUAAUUAGGCUUGUCAGGUGAGUGGGAGGAUCGAGCUCAAGACACUUCCCCUGAGGUUAGGAGUUAGGACGUCUCUCCGAGGAAAAAGAUCCUUGCUGGAUCCUUUUUUUGAAGAUCUUUGGGAUCCCGUAGUGUUCACUUUAACAAAAAAUCACAUUUUUACACUAAAAAGUCAAUCUUGGUACUAUUUACUUUACCCUUUAUUUUGUCAUUAUCAUUAAAACUCAAAGUUUUCAAGCUCUUUUCAUCAAUUUUCCUAAUUUUAAAAUGAUUUUUUACCGCACGAUGUGCGAUGAACAAUCACGAUCAUGGAAUUCCUAAAAUCCAUAUGAAAAGGAUCAUACAUUUCAUUUCUCGUCUCGCAUAGAUUGUAUUUUACUAGUUUUCCGAAAAUAUUUUGGAAGUGUAAUUUUCUUAUAGUUCAAUUAGUGGUGUAAUUUGUAGAGAAGUCAACGAUAUCAUUCCCAAUAUCUUGGCUUAGUUUAGGAAACAAUUUUGUAAUUGAUUUGUAUAAGUUUAUUUUCCUAUUGUAUACCUAGAAAGUAGGGUAGUUUACUUCUUAGUCAAGUAUUGUUCUUUGUAUAAAUCUCUUUGUAUCAAUAGAAGAUAACACACUUCCGCAAAAUAUAUUCUUGCUCUAUUUUACAUGGUAUCAAGAGCUAGGUCGAAACCCUAGUUCUUGCCGCUGCCCUUUUUUUGCUAUUUUUCAAUAGCUUUUUUUCCGUCAACCAUCAUGGCCACUGACAAACUUUCCAAAAGUGAAGCGGCUGAUGUCAAGACUGAUGUUUCAAACCCUUUGUUGAUGGUACUGUCACACAGCCUUUCGAGAAAACCAAACCUGCCAACCAUACUACAUGGUAGAGAUGCAAUGAUAUGAUCGUUGCGUGGAUCAUCAACUCCAUUGAUUUAGAGAUUUCUGAUAGUAUUCUUUACAUGACUGAUGCUCAUGCAAUUUGGGAGGAAUUGUGAGAGCAUUAUUCACAAAGAAAUGCUCCUCGGAUUUUCGAGUUACAACGGGACAUUGCUUCUCUUACUCAAGACCAACUCUCAAUUGUUGCGUACUACACAAAGCUAAAGAAAUUGUGGGAUGAACUGGCAUCAUACAGUAACUCUACUUCCUGCACGUAUGGAGCGCAGAAUGAAAGAAAUAAAUUAAUGCAGUUUCUUAUGGGCCUCAACGAGUCCUAUAGUGCCAAUCGAGGGAAAAUCUUGCUGAUGAAUCCUUUACCAACUGUUCGUCAGGCCUAUGCUUCAAUUUCCCAGGAAGAGAAACAAAGAUCUCUUACUGCCUUACGUGGAGUCACCGAGACAGUAGCUAUGGUUGUCCAUUCAUGAUCAUCUGGAUCCUCCAGUUGCAAGCCCUUGCACUAUACUCAUUGUGAUCAUGACUAUCACACCAUUGAUACUUGUUAUCAGCUUCACGGGUAUCCACCAGGGCAUCGUCUUCACAAAGUCAAGCCUCAAAAAGGGAGCAAGCCUUCUAAAAAGGAAGGCAGUUCUUUUUCGUCUGCAAAUCAAGUUUCAGAAGGUGCCACUUUAGAAGAGAUGAAGUCAGUAAUGUCUGGGUUAUCUGACACCCAAUUCCAGCAAAUUCUUCACAUCAUGAAUAAUAAUAAAGGAGGUAACGUCUCUGUUCUUCCAAAAGCUAAUGUCGCUGCCAUGAAAACAAGUUUGUCGAAAUCUCUUUUGCCUUUACGUAGAUGGAUAAUCGACAGUGGUGCAACAGACCAUAUAACCUCCUCACCAUCUUUGCUUACUGAUGGUGUCAAAAACACCACUUUGUCACCAGUUUUAUUACCAAGUGGAGAGCAAGCUUGCAUAGUCUCCACUGGGAAUGUUCCUUUGAGUUCUACUUUUUUGUUGCGAGAUGUGUUGUGUGUGCCAACUUUUAAAGUAGAUUUGAUGUUUGUGAGUCGAAUUACAAGUGGAUUGCAUUGUUCUAUAACUUUUUCCCUUCGUGGUGUAUUAUGCAAGACUUGGCGACGAAGAAGGUGAUUGGUUUGGGUAAGCAAUGAGGCAGACUCUACUAUUUGGCAGCAUUGAUUUCCACCGCCUCUGGGAGCUCACACCGAGUCUGCAACCUUGUUCUCUCACCUACAGAGUUGUGGCAUCGACGUUUGGGGUCAUUUAUCACCUUUUAAGCUAGAUUUCAUGUCGAAACACCUAUUGCAUUUUCCUUUUCAAUCCAAUAAUGAUUGUGAUGUUUGCCCUUAGCCAAGCAAGGUCAUUUACCUUUUAAUAUCAAUUCCAUUACAACUACAAAACCUUUUGCUUUAAUCCAUUGUGAUAUUUGGGAUCCCUAUAAAAUUGCCUCAUUUUCUGUAGCAAAAUAUUUCUUAACUAUAGUAGAUGAUUACUUUCAUUUCACAAGAUUUUCCUUAUGCAACACAAAUCAGAAACACAACACGUCCUCAAGGAUUUUUUCUCUUUUGUUCAAACUCAGUUUAAUACAUCCAUUUGCCAAACAAGAGUAGACAGACAAUGGUGGAGAAUUUUUUUUCCCUUCGUGGUUUCUUCUAAGAUCAUGGGGUCAUUUAUCAAUGUUUUUGUGUCUAUACACCCCAACAAAAUGGGGUAGUCGAGCGCAAACAUCGUCACAUACUUGAAAUUGCUCAUGCUUUAUGUUUCCAAGCUAACCUUCCUUUUUCCUUUUGGGGUGAAUGUGUACUUACGGCUGUUCAUAUCAUUAAUCGUCUUCCUACCUUAAUCAUUUCUCAUCGUACGCCCUUUGAACACUUGUACUCCAAUCCAAACCACCUUCGUUUUCCCACCUUAGAGUAUUCGACUGUCUUGCUUAUGCAACCAACACCCAUCUUUCCCACAAAUUUGCCCCCCGAGCUCACAAAUAUGCCUUCCUUGGGUAUCCCGUUGGUCAAAAGGCAUACAAACUUUACAACCUUACCACUCAUACAUUUUUUACUAACUGAGAUGUUUUUCAUGAACAUAUUUUCCAUUACCAUUCUUCUCCAUCCUCUACUUCACCCACCACUACACCACUGCCUACAUCCUCUACUUCACCUACCUCCACACCACUGCUUACCCCUACACCCUUUUUACCUGAGACUCCCGAUGUUACCUUAUCGUGCCCUAGGGACUCUUCUUCUUCACCACCCGAGUCUUCUGCAAAUUUUCACCUCCCUCCUGAUGCAGCUCAUUUCGAGUCCCUUUCUACCUCAUCUGUGCCUCUUGCACCUUCUAAACUGAUGCUUCGCCGCUCUAGCCAUCACUCCUCACCGCCUCCAAGGUUACGAGACUAUGAAUGCCCUACUCUUAAGCUUACCCAACCAGAUCCUCCAUUGUCUUCGUCGUUUGGUUCUAAUAUAGGUACACGUUAUCCACUUGCUAAUUAUCUCACUUAUCAUCGCUUCUCACCUGCACAACAAUCUUUUCUUACAACUAUCACUCAACAGGUUGAACCCCAGACUUAUACUGAGGCUGGUGCUUCUCCCCAUUAGUAAGCUGCCAUGGCUUAUAAAUUACAGGCUUUGGAAGCUAAUCAUACGUGGAUUCUUACCCCCUUUCCUGUUGGCAAAUCUCCCAUUGGUUGUCGUUGGGUCUACAAAAUCAAGCUCCGUUCACAUGGCUCCAUUAAGCGUUAUAAAGCUCAUUUGGUUGCCAAGGGUUACACACAGCUUGAAGGUAUUGACUUUCAUGAUACUUUCUCUCCCACUGCUAAAAUGAUUAUUGUUCGCUGCCUCUUAGCUCUUGCUGCUUCUUGUCACUGGUCUCUCCAUCAACUUGACAUCAACAACGCAUUUCUUCAUGGUGACCUUCAUGAAGAAAUAUAUAUGCUUCCUCCUUUAAGUCUCCGGCGACAGGGGGAGAAUUUAGUAUGUCGCCUUAACAAAUCUUUAUAUGGACUGAAGGAAACAUCUCAUCAAUAGUUUGCCAAGUUUUCCAAAGCUAUUCAAUGUGCUAGUUAUGUCCAAUCAAAGGCAAAUUAUUCUUUGUUCACAAGGCAACGAGGCAAGUAUUUUACAGCACUCUUAAUUUAUGUUGAUGAUAUUUUGAUCACUGGGAAUGAUCAUAAUGCCAUUAGCAUUCUCAAAACAUUCCUUAAUAGUCGUUUCAAAAUCAAGGACCUUGGUGACUUGAAAUACUUUCUAGGCAUCGAAGUGUCACGAUCAAAGAAUGAAAUUUUCAUUUCUCAACGUAAGUAUGCUUUAGAGAUUCUGAGGGAUGGUGGUAUCUUGGGAGCUCGUCCAAUUGAGUUUCCCAUGGAGCAUAAUCUUAAACUUUCAAACAAUGGUGAGUUACUUAAAGAUCCGGCACAGUAUAGAAGGUUGGUGGAUCGAUUGAUCUAUUUAACGAUUACUAGGCCGGACAUAACAUAUUCAGUGCAUGUGUUAAGUAGAUUUAUGCAUGAACCUCGCCGUCCACACAUGGAAGUAGCUCUCUGAGUUUUGAAAUACAUAAAGAGUACUCAUGGACAAGGUUUAUUUUUCUCUUCUAAAAAUAACUUGACCUUGAGUGCAUAUUGUGAUUCAGAUUGGGCAGGAUGCCCUACGACACGAAGAUCAACCACAAGGUAUUGUGUUUUUUUGGGUUCUUCAUUGAUUUCUUGGAGAUCAAGACACAAAAAACCGUGUCUUUGUCAUCAGCUGAGGCCGAAUAUAGAGCCAUGACUGGAACUUGUUGUGAACUAUUGUGGCUCUGAUAUCUUCUAAAGGACUUGGGUUUGUUGCAUCCAAAACCGGCCUUAUUACAUUGUGACAACAAAGCAUCUCUUUAUAUUGCUGCCAAUCCAGUUUUCCAUGAGCGGACUAGACAUAUAGAGAUGGAUUGCCACUUUAUUCGAGAUAAAAUACAAGAUGGUUUAGUUGUCACACGAUUUGUUCCCUCUUCACACCAACUUGCAGAUGUAUUCACGAAAGCAUUGGGGAAGGAAUCUUUCUCGUCCAUUAUACAUAAGUUGGGAGUUCUAGACAUCCACUCUCCAACUUGAGGGGGAGUGUAGAGAAGUCAACGAUAUCAUUCCCGAUAUCUUGGCUUAGUUUAGGAAACAAUUUUGUAAUUGAUUUGUAUAAGUUUAUUUUCCUAUUGUAUACCUAGAAAGUAAGGUAGUUUACUUCUUAGUCAAAUAUUCUUCUCUUUGUAUCAAUAGAAGAAAACACACAUCCGCAAAAUAUAUUCUUGCUCUAUUUUACAUAAUUUGGCUUGUAGUUCAUACAUUUCAUUUCGAGAAUUGUAUUUUGUUUCAACAAUGGAAUGAUCAAAACCAGUUUUACUUCUUUUUGCAUUCUUUAUUUACAUUUUACGCAAUCUGUAAUUUUAAGGCCUCGAUCUUCAAGGCAUAAGAAGAACGUAAUUGAGCCAACGUCUCAUUGAGUGCUUUAUCGUUUGGUUCACACAUUGAACCUAGGUCAACACUACUACAAUAUUAGCUUUAGGUGGCGGAUAUUAGAAAAAUCAUGUCGGAUAAAUUAUAUCUGACACAUCAUUUAAUUAGUGGCGGAUAUUAGAAAAAUAUUGUCGGUUAUAUCCGACAUAAAGUCCUGACGGAUAUAAAAAAAUACUAUCGGUUAUAACCGACAGUAUUUUUGAAUCUUUUUUUUUAAAUAUUUUUGACAGAUUCUGGCAGUUUUUUAAGUUAAUGGUGGCGGUUAUAACUGACAAAAAUUGACUAUUUUAUUAUUUUACUUUCUGGUGGUUAUUAUUUUGUAUUCUGGCGGUUAUAACCGACAUAAAUGAAAAUUUUAUUAUUUUAAAAUGUUAUAUUGAUUAAAAAUAAAUAAAUAAACACAUAUUUUUUUUUUAAAAAAAAAAUCACUCAUGACAAAGUCUAAUGAACUCAUAUCCCACGAGCCAUAAAUUUUCUGAGGGAAUAAUAACAACAUAUUACAAUAUGAAGCUCUAUCAAUUUUGUAAUAAGGAUUAUGCUCCCGCACAGGCAAGCAACAAAAUACAAAGAAAUUCAAACAAUUUUUUUCAAUGCGUCACAAAACACAUUGUCUGGCACAUAAACACACAUGAAGAUCUGGUGUAUUCUAUCAUAUAUGAUUUUAUUAUUUUAAAAUGUUGUAUUGAUUAAAAAUAAAUAAAUAAACACAUGUUUUAAAUGUUUUUUUUUUCACUCAUGACCCUGUCAGAUAUAACCAUAAAAAACUUUUGUUCUGUUACCUAAUCUCUAAAUGUUUGUUUUUUGUGAUUAUUUACGUAUGCAAUCUCGGAGUAUAUACAAACAAGUUUGACGGUUGGAUCAUUGAAAAACAUUUCAUAGAAUGAGUAUCGCAUCAAAACGGUAGAUUAAACAAACACUUAAAGUUAAUGUUAUACUUCCCCAUCAAGUAUAAAAUAGAUUUUGUGGUAUCCAAUAGUGUAAAUAUUUUAAAUUGAAGAUCGAAUUAUUUCAAUGCAUUCUUAUAGGGUCGAGGAGUGUAGCUAUAAAAAUCAUCAAAAUCGGAGCUAAAAUAACCUUUAAAUUGUGAUUUUUUGUUUAUAACCAUUGAAAUUUUUUGUUUGGUUACCUAAUAUCUGAAUGUUUGUUUUUUGUGAUUUUUUACGUAUGCGAUCUCAGAGUGUAUACAAACAAGUCUGACGGUUGGAUCAUUGAAAAACGUUUCGUAGAAUGCGUAUCACAUCAAAACAGUAGAUUAAACACACACUUGGAGUUAAUGUUAUACUUCCCCAUCAAGUAUAAAAUAAGAAUUUGUGGUAUCCACCAGUGUAAAUAUUUUAAAUUGCAGAUCAAAUUUAUUCAUUAAAUUCUUAUAGGGUCGAGGAGUGUAGCUGUAAAAAAUCAUUCAAAUCGGAGGUAAAAUAACCGUUAAAUUAUGAUUUUUUGUUUAUAACCGUCGAAAACUUUUGUUUCCGUUACAUAAUCUAUGAAUGUUUUUUUUUUAUGAUUUUUUACGUAUGCAAUCUCGGAGUGUUUACAAAUAAAUUUGAUGGUUUGAUCGUUGAAAAAAGUUUCGUAGAAUGCAUAUUGCGUCAAAACGGUAGAUUAAACAAACACUUAUAAUUAAUAUUAUACUUCUAUUAAGUAUAAAAUAAGAUUUUGUGGUAUCCACGAGUGUAAAUAUUUUAAAUUGAAGAUCGAAUUCUUUCAAUGUAUUCUUAUAGGGUCGAGGAGUGUAGUUGUAAAAAAUGAUCAAAAUCGAAGCUAAAAUAACCGUUAAAUUGUGAUUUUUCGUUUAUAACCGUCGAAAACUUUUGUUCCGUUACCUAAUCUCUGAAUGUGUUUUUUUUUUACGAUUUUUUAUGUAUGCAAUCUUGUAGUAUCUACAAACACGUUUGACGGUUAGAUCAUUGAAACUAGUUUCGUAGAAUGCAUAUCUCCGUUAAAUUUGCCUAAAUUUUGAAGUGGAAAAUGUAAUUUGUGCUAAUUUUUUAUUUAUGUUUUUCAAGUAUUGAUUAGACCAUAAUUAGUUUGUGUGAUGACAUUUUCAUUGUACAGUUAUCUUUUUGUUUCUUUAUUGCAUAUUUUACAUGGGUUAUUAUCUAUUAAACCAAACAAUUAUUUAUUUAAUUUUAAAAAACGUAUUCUAUUUAAAUACAUAGUAUUUAUUUAUUUAUUAAGCCAAACAAUUAUUAUUUUAUUUUUUUAAAUCGUAACAAAAUUUGGGGGGGGGGGAAUUUAAAAUUUUGGGAGGGAAUUUGGGGGGAUUUUUACCGCCAUUUUUUUUAUGUCGAUUUUUAUUUUUAAAAAAUGUUUAUGUCGGUUUUAACCGAUAGUAAUGAAAAUUUUCCACAUUAAAACCCCUCCAUCUCUUCCUUGCACUGGCUUUCUCUCUUCCCCCUUCCUUCCCCCUUUUCUCCUCUCCGCAUUUCCUUCUUCUUUUUAUAUUUUUUGUUGAGCAUUCUCCCUUCUCCUUUUAAUUUACGAAUAAGAGAAAAACCAGAGCAAUGUUGGAAGACGAAGAGGGAAAAAACCCAAAUCUUAUCUCAUCAAUCAGGUACAUGCAAUUUUUUUUUUCUUCAGAAUUUUGGUUUUGGGUAUUUGAAGAAAUGGGAAAGAUGGGAUUUUUGGAAUGUGUGGUGACGGAGAGCAGCUGAAACGUGGCCAACGGCAAGAUAUGGAGGUCGUUUUGGAGAAGAAAGACGAUGUUGAUUGGGCUUACAAAGGCGAAGGGGCUGCUAAUGUUGUUCUCGCUUACACCUGAUCCUUCCUCUCUUUUGUAUGUUUCACUCUACCCUGAGCUUCAAUCUUGCAUUUUAAUUUGGCCUAAUCGGAUAAAUGCUCCCCGUGGUCAUAAGGUAUUCGGAUGAUAGCCCCUGUGGUAAAAAAAUUCGGAUUUAAACCCCUGUGGUCUAAGUCUGUUAGGAUUUAUGCCCAUCUGUUAAAUAAUGGUCACGUGGCUGCCACGUGGCUGCCAAAUGUCUGCCACGUGGCAAAAUAAUAAUUUUUUAUUUUUUUUUUAAAAAAAACCUGAAUUUUUACAAAAAAAAAAAAAAAAAAAAAAAAAAAAACCCAGAACCUCCCCCCCGCCCUCUGCCCAUUCCCCCCUGCCGUCCUUCUCCUUCUUCCUUCUUCUUCUUCCCGCCGGUCUCCCCGCGCGACUCCUCCCUCUCCCUCUUCCUUCUUCUUCUUCUUCUUCUUCUUCUUCUUCUUCUUCCCGCCGGUCUCCCCGCGCGACUCCUCCCUCUUCCUCUUCCUUCUUCUUCUUCUUCUUCCCGCCGGAGCCCUCUCCCCGCGCCCUCCUCCCUCUCCCUCUUCCUUCUUCUUCUUCUUGCAGAUCUGCGUUUUUUUUUUUUUUUUUUGUAAAAAUUCAGGUUUUUUAAAAAAAAUUAAAAAUUAAUAUUUUUGCCACGUGGCAGACAUUUGGCAAACACGUGGCAUAUAUGUGUCAGCCACGUCAGCAUUAUUUAACAGAUGGGCAUUAAUCCUAACAGACUUAGACCACAGGGGUUUAAAUCCUAACAGACUUAGACCACAGGGGUUUAAAUCCGAAUUUUUUUACCACAGGGACUAUCAUCCGAAUACCUUAUGACCACGGGGACCAUUUAUCCAAUUAGGCCUUUUAAUUUUUAAUUUUAAGGAAAAAGUUGAAAAUUUGUAGUAGUUUGUGAAGGGAGUUGGAAUUGGGUAUUGAUUGUUCUUAUUGUCAUGCUUAGGAAAUUUUGUGUCGUUUCCGUUGAUUGUGUAAAUGUUUGAUGUUUGAAUGCUGUGUGUGAUUUGGGAUCUCCAGGCUUUUCUUCAUUCUUCUAUUUAUGGAAGAUGUGGGUUUUCUCUUCUGUGUUUCUGUUUUCUCUUCCAUUCAAGCUCUUCCUAACCUUAUGGCAUGCGUUCUUCUGAGUAAUCUUGGAGAAUCCAUUACAAAAGUAGCACAGGAUGCUCUUGUUGCAGAGUAUGGCCAAGAGAAAAAUAUGACUGGCUUCUAGUCUUAAGCAUUCAUGGCAGCAGCUACUGGUGGAAUCCUUGGCAACUUAAUAGGUGGAUAUUUCUUGAUGAAAACGCUGCCCAGAACCAUGUUUCUUUUAUUUGCAAUUUUAAUCUCUGCUCAACUUGUUUGGAUCAAAACUUGAACUUUGGGCUCAAGAAAAGAGCUGGCCCAAAAGGAGGCCCGAAGGGAAAGACAACCGAAGCCCAGUCAAAGCCCAGAAAGCAGAAAAGGCCUUUUCUGACUUGGUGCAGCUCAUAAAGACCACUUGCUUACCUACCCAAAGGCCAAGUGGUAUAGACUGACCAGCUACACAGCCCAUAAAGUACUUUAUGAUGGCAGUACAUGUAAAAUAGCUGAUGAGUCAUCACCCUUCAAACCGCAUUCGGGCAAGGUUGCUGCUACAGGAGACCAAGCCGAGUUGUCUAUAUAAGAAGAAAGAGAAACCAGGAAUAAGGACACUCAAUCAAACAAACAAAUGCAAGCACAAACUCUGCUCAAAGCCAGAUUUGCCUUCAAAACGAAGCUGUAGUCAGCCCAAGCAUUCAUCCCUCUCGGGACAAGCCUUCAUCCCUCGCGGGAUAAACCUUCGCUCAAACCCUUGUAAUAGCUCUGCUACCUUGUUCAACCUUGCUGUAUUAUCGAUUCAUCUUUUGUAAAUCUCUCCCUCUCCCUGAAGCUUUCAUACCCUUGAUAAACCACAAAGAUAGGAACCUGCAAGACAACCAGACUUGUCCGACAAGGUUAAACCUUGCCCGACCUUCUUUGUUUUUGUCUUUUCAUUCAUUAGCCUAGCAAUAUGUUGUAUACUUCCAAUUAUAUUCAAGUUAUUUCUAGCAAGAUGACUAUUAAAAGGCUUUCUCAGUACUGGGAUCCGAUUUGAAUAUAUCUUCAGUGUUCAAACCAGAUCCAAGUUCUAAGCCCUCGGGCAUGUAAAUCUGAUUAGUUAAAAGUCCUUAGCCUUAAGGCAUAAAAAAGAACCUUAUGUGGACUUAACCCAUCCACGAUAAUCCUUGAUAAACGAGAAGUCCGAAGUUACUUGGGGCGCAAGUAAUCGACCUACCUCUUAGUCUUAUUUCAAUUACAUUAUGAUUAUCAUAGAACGCUUAAGCAUGGGAAGGAUUCUAAUAGGAAGCCUCAAGGCCUACACCUAAGGCCCCACAAAGGCACCUAUUUGGAUUCAUUCCGUUCUGCGGUCUAGAACGUUUAAGUGUAAGAACGAACUCUAAUAGGAAGCCUCAAGGCCUACACCUAAGGCCCUACAAAGGCACCUAUUUGGGUUCAUUCUACCUCUCGAACUCGGGUAAUCAGAAGUAUAAUAGUUAUAAGACUCAUGCAUGCACAAGAACAAAUAUGAUGUGUUUGAGCACAGGUUUAGUUAUUGAUAGGAAGCCUCAAGGCCUACACCUAAGGCCUCACAAAGGCACCUGUUAUAACUAACACGGUUUCUCGGGUAUAUACAUAUACAACCAAAACACGACAUCCAUUUCACAUCUGCCAUACUAAAGAUGGCAGUGGCACGCCUGAGCACUUAAAAGUUAACCUUGAUUGUGAGCCUCAAGGCCUACACCUAAGGCCCCACAAAGGCACCUCUCAAAGUUAACUUUGUCCUUCUCUUUCAGCCUUACCCGACGAGCCUUGCCCGAAGAGUCUUGCCCGACAAGACUUGCCCGACAAAGCCCUACAGUGAAGCAGAAACCCGACAGCAGCCCUCAACCGGCGCCAACCUCCCGGGGAGCUGUGUGCUCGUCGGCCAGGAAACAUCCCCGACGGAAAUUCCUGACGCGAACAUAGUUUUGGCACGCCCAGUGGGACCAUCAUUUGAUCAGAAGAUAUAUGUCAAAAUGCCAGAAGAUUUGCAAACCAUGUUACUACAAAUGUUGCAAAGAUUGGAGAAAGCUUCCACAGGCUCCAGAAAAGAAACAGACCUGGUUCCUCCCGAGGGAAAGAGACUUAAAACCAGCCCGCUAGAAGAGUUGGUGGUAAACAAACCUGUAGUUCCAUUUUCAGAAGCCCCUGUAAAUAUGAUUAAUAUGGCAUGGGUUGAGAAGGGAAAAGAAAAAAUCACAAGGGAACCAGAGGAAGAAAGAUUGGCUCAAAAACCUAUUUGAGGGGUGAUUAAAUCGCCCGAAUAUCCAAAAGCAGCCAUAAUCAAGGGGAUGGUUAUGUGUAGUAAGUGCCAAUGCGAGUGUGAGCUCGAAAUUCCCCCAGCUGGAAUCCUCAUUGAUCAUGAACUGAUCAGGAGGAAGGAAGAAGGUGAAAUGAGGAGAGCCCACGAAAAGAUCAAGCAGGCUACGAAAAAAGACACUUCCCGAAGCGUUUUUCAACGAUUAGGAGGUGAUUCCCAACCCAAAGCUUUGUCAGAAGUAUUUCGAAACCAUGAGGCUUCUGAAGAGGCAGAAGAUAUGGAGGCCAAAAUACGGAGGGGUACAUAUCAUCCUCAAUAUGGCCAGAUGGGAAGGGAAAUCAAGAGGAUGGAUGGGAUAACAAAUCCUGUCAGAAAAGAAAAACCUGCCCACCUCAGGCGAAAAUGGUACGUAGUCGGAAAGAACGAACAGCCUACCAAACAAAUGGGAGCCUCCAUGGUCAGAAGGGUUUAAAGGCAGCACAAAGCUUACAUGAAUUCCCUGAAGACCCCCGCAACAUCCGAAGCCUCCAAAAAUAAAAAAUUGGAGAAAACAUCAUCUGGGGGAAAUAGUCAGCUCUGCUGGAGAAGUAAGAGAGAGGUGGAAAAGGCCAAUAGCAAGACGGAAGGCGAGGAGAAUCACGUGCCGCAGAGCCAGCACCCUGGGAAGUAUCGGAUCUUGAGGAGAGCUCAAGAAGAUCUGGUUAUGGUACCAAACCCCGGGUGGAAGCCAGAGCCUAUUUGCGUUGGAGCUGUUUCAUCUAAAAGGAUACCACCUUCCCUGCCCUUGGUGGAUCCUUUUGGUGAAGUUCCAAAGCAAACGCUGUAUGCGGGCAUGAAUCAACAGAAGAGGGCACCAAAACCACUACUUCCAGCUGAUGCAAUGGCCUGGUUGGACGAAUUCAUGGACCAGAUUGGGGGCAAUAAAGAAGAUAUGCCCGAGCCUAGUAAUUUUCAUAUCAACAUGGCAUAUGUAUUAUCCGCCAUGUUUGGUGCCAGACCUGAUCAGCCCGCUACUAUGGAGAAUGAUUACUUGACAACUGAGCCAAUGAUGGCACAUGUCAAUGUGGAGGUAGUCGAAGGAGGAGAGUCGGGCAAGGCUGAAUCCACUGAAGCGUUCAAAGAUAGUCCUUUCAGGAUUUACACAGACGAAAUGGUGUUUAGCCGCCCGAACAGCUCGUUGGCCAAUCAUCUGAAGCCCAUAUAUGUUGCUGCUCAUUUGGAAUGUGUGCCCUUCAAAAGAAUUCUAAUUGAUUGGGGAGCAGCUGUUAAUGUGCUACCAGCCAAGCAAAUGAGGAAAAUAGGAAGAGGCACGGAGGAUCUUAUUCCCACAAACCUCACGGUCUCUAACUUCUCAGGCGCUAUCACCAAAACUCAUGGGAUAUUGCCUUUAGAAGUAGAUUUGGGAUCUAAACAGAUCAUGUUGGCAUUCUUUGUGGUGGACUGCACUUCCACUUAUGGGGCCUUACUCGGAAGAGAUUGGAUCCACCAAAGCCUGGCCAUACCCUCCACUCUUCAUCAACAAGUGGCUGUUUACCAUGAAGCGGGCACAGAAGGACCAGGCUUUUGGGAGAUGGUAGAGGCCGAAUCACGGCCAUUUCUCCCCACAGCCAAUGUUGCGGAAGCAAGUUUUUACAACCCCAACGUAGGAAUCUUGAAGUGUUCAGGAGCUGACGAGAACGGCCGCCCUACCAAGGUGACGGCCCAAAAGCUUUUGGAACAAGGAAUGCUCCUUACUAAAGAGGAGUGGGACAUACCUUGUAUCCUCCCAAAUCCCCUACACCAUCAAUGACUGAACAAAAGAAGAAAGAUCAGGUAACAGUAGUCAAAUCCCUGAUUAAAAGACUGUUGGUAUAUGGGAAGAGAAGAAACCAAGAAAGGGAGCUAUUGGACAAAGAAGAGCAGGAAUGGCAGGUGGGAACUUCAACCAGCCAGCAUGAAAGCAAGGAGGAAUCUUGCAAAGAAGAAUUGGAAAGGGCCAUUCAAAUGACCGAGUGCAUUUAUGACCUAGAUGGGCCAAAUGACUUGCCCGAGAGCCCGGAGUUAGUCGAAUUUUUGUGUGCAAAACCUGAUAAGCCACCACCAGAAGUCCAGGAUCCUCUGGAAAUUAUUGAUCUAGGAAUAGAGGAGGAUCCAAGACCAAUACAAAUUAGUGGUUUAUUGGGGGUUGAUGAUCGGGCGAAGAUUAUCUGCCUUUUGCAAGAGUUCAAAGAUUGCUUUGCUUGGCAUUAUACUGAGAUGCCAGGUUUAGAUUCAGCCUUGGUGGAACAUAGAAUGCCCAUCAAGGAGGGAUACAAACCUGUUAAGCAAGCACCACGAAGGAUGUCAAAGGAGAUAGAAGAAAAGGUCAAAGAAGAGAUUGAAAGGCUAGUAAAAGCUGGCUUUAUCAGACCAGCCAAAUAUGUAGAGUGGUUAGCCAACAUUGUACCCGUUUUAAAAGCUGUAACAAAAGCAGUACGAUGUUGUGUGGAUUACAGAAAUAUAAAUGGCGCUACACCAAAAGAUGAAUAUCCCAUUCCCAUGGCCGAUUUAUCCAUAGAUGCAGUAGCAAAACAUAAAGUCCUAUCUUUUAUGGAUGGGAAUGCCGGGUAUAAUCAAAUAAAGAUGGCUCCAGAAGAUAUACACAAAACAACUUUUAGGUGUCCCGGUCAUGUGGGGGCAUAUGAAUAUCUGGUCAUGCCAUUCGGGCUCAAGAACACUGGUGCAACUUACCAGAGGGCGAUGAAUGCCAUCUUUCACGAUCUGAUUGGCCAGAGCAUGGAGGUAUACAUUGAUGACAUAGUGGUGAAGUCCAAGACAGAAGAACAGCAUCUGGAAGAUCUUAGAAAAACAUUAGCAAGGAUGAGGAUCCACAAAUUGAAGAUGAAUCCAAAGAAGUGUGCGUUUGGAGUAAGAGCGGGCAACUUCUUGGGAUUCCUGGUGCAUCAAAGAGGUGUAGAAGUGGACAAGAACAAAUCUCGGGCAAUAAUUGAGUCACCUUCACCCACCAACAAGGUGCAACUCCAGAGUCUACUUGGCAAAAUUAACUUCUUGAGGAGAUUCAUUGCUAAUUUAGCAGGCAAGAUCCAGCCGCUGACUCCUUUACUAAGAUUGAAGGAUAAAGACAACUUCGAAUGGGGACCACCGCACCAACAGGCCUUUGACACCAUCAAGGCCUAUUUAACUUCUCCACCAGUGUUGGUGCCACCUCAAAGGGGAAAACCCUUGAAGCUGUAUAUUUCUGCCUCAGAAAAGUCAAUCGGGAGUUUGCUAGCCUAAAAUAAUGAAGGCGGGAAGGAGCAGGCAGUGUACUACCUCAGUAGAAUUCUGACCGAGGUAGAGACAAGAUAUUCCUCGGUAGAGAGAUUAUGCUUGGCUUUAUAUUUCACUGCCAGUAAAUUAAGGCAUUACAUGUUACCUUGUCACGUGCACAUCAUCGCCAAGACAGAUGUGAUAAAGUACAUGUUGUCAAAGCCAAUGCUCACAGGAAGGAUUGGGAAAUGGAUUCUAGCAUUAUCAGAAUUCAGUUUUCAGUACGUACCCCAAAGGGCAGUCAAAGGCCAAGCAAUUGCUGACUUCCUGGCCGAGCACCAAGAAUCUCAAAGUGAGGUAAUCAAUAUCCCAGGAAGCCUGGAGGUUACUAGCAUUUGGAUCCCGCCAAGAAAAGAUAUUUCGGGCAAAGAAGACUGGGUCCAACAAGAGAUAAGAAGAGUAGCUGGUCUCUGGAUUACUCCUUGGAAAUUGUAUUUCGAUGGAUCUCACACUCAGAAGGCUUCAGGAGCGGGGAUUGUAAUUGUAAACCCUCAGGGAGUUUAUCAUUAUUAUUCAUUUCUCCUAGACUACCAGGGAAAUACUAAUAAUCGGGCAGAGUAUGAGGCCUUAAUAAUUGGUGUGGAAAUCUUGAUGGAUCUGGGGGCAGUAGAGGUAGAGGUCUUUGGAGAUUCAGAGUUGGUAAUAAACCAGUUAAAUGGGGAGUUCAAGUGCAGACAUAUUACCAUGGCGGGGUAUUACUUGGCAGCUACGCAAUUAUUGAGUUUAUAGGAUUCUGAGAUAUCGGUCAAUCAUGUUCCCAGGGGAUCCAACUUAGCGGCCAACGAGAUGGCACAACUAGCCUCAGGAGUGCCAAUACAGGAGAGAAAAUAUGGGGUAGAUGUCGAGGUCCAAAUGAGAAACCUUCCUUCCAUCUUAGAAAGGGGAUUCAGUCUGAAUGUAAUGAGGCUAGAAGCCGAGAUAGAAGAUUGGAGGUCACCUAUCAUUCAUCAUUUGAAGGAUCCCUCUUCGCCUACAAGCAAUAAGGAUAGACAGCAAGCAACUAAGUAUGUCUUAUGGGCGAAGAACUUGCUAAGAAAAACUCCAGAUGGGUUACUGUUGAAAUGCUUGGGCCAAGAAGAAUCCAUGAGGGUAAUGGUCUAAGUACAUGAAGGAGUAUGUGGAGCACAUCAGGCUGGAACGAAGAUGAAAUGGUUGCUUAGGAGGUAUGGUUAUUUCUGGCCCGACAUGGAAAAAGAUUGUAAGUCUUAUGCCCAAGGUUGUGAAGAAUGUCAAAGGCACGGACCUCUCCGGCAUGUGCCCUCGGUACCUUUAAAUCCAGUGGUCAAGCCUUGGCCCUUCAGAGGAUGGGCGAUGGACUUCAUCGGGCAAAUCUAUCCAGCUUCUAGUAAAGGCCAUACCUUCAUAAUUGUAGCAACGGAUUAUUUCACUAAGUGGGUGGAAACAUCAGCAGUAAAAUCCAUAACUUCAGCCACAGUCAAGAAUUUUAUCGACACCAAGAUUCUGCACAGAUAUGGGGUGCCCGAAACUAUAGUAACGGAUUGUGGACCAUCUUUUAUUUCAAAAGAAGUUGAGGAGUUUGCAAGUAAGUACAAAAUAAAGAUGAUUCAAUCCAGUCCGUACUACCCUCAAUCAAAUGGCCAGGCAGAAGCCAGCAACAAGAUCCUGGUCAACAUUAUCAAGAGAAUGGUGAUUGAUAGUCCAGAAAAGUGGCAUGAAAAUCUGGGGAACACUUUGUGGGCAUACAGAACUUCUAAGAGGGCAGGAACAGGGACAACUCCUUAUGCUUUAACUUUCGGGCAAGAUGCAGUGCUCCCAGUGGAAAUCAAUGUAAGUUCUUUAAGAAUUCAAAAUCAAUUUGGGUUGCAUAGUGAAGAGUACAUCGAAGCCAUGUGUCAAGGAAUUGAAGACUUGGAUGUAGCCUGAAUUGAAGCUUUGAACCAAAUUCAAGAAGGAAAGCGAGCCGUUGCCCGAGCUUAUAACAAAAAGGUGAAAAUGAAGUCUUUCAAGGUAGGGGAUUUAGUAUGGAAGACAGUCCUCCCUCUAGGAGCUCAGCUCAGGGACUUUGGAAAAUGGAGCCCGACAUGGGAAGGUCCUUUCAUUAUUAGUCGCGUUUUGGAUAGAGGGGGAUACUACUUGGCGGACCUUGAGGGAAACAGGCAUAAACAUCCCAUUAAUGUUAAAUUCUUAAAGAAAUAUUGUCCUACGUUGUGGGAUGUCAGAGAUUGUUAUAUUGAAGAGGAUGCAAGGUAAAGCAAGCUUCGGGAUAUCAACGUGCAGUGUAUAUUUAUCAAUCAUUCAAGAAGAUGGAAAGACAAGAGUUGCUGAGAUAAUGUAUAUUUCAUUUCGACAAAUUGAUGAAAUUUACAAAAGAUUCAAAGCCGACGUAUUACAAUCAAUUCUCCUUCUGGAUGCAAUGGUAUCUUCAGCUGAUUUUCCGAUGUCCUCAUGGAUGGAACCCGAUCAGGUGAUCGGGUUGUGCGGCCAACAUGAGCCUGGUAGAGGAUCCUCAGACAGGACCAUCACCAUAAGUGAUAGUGAAGCCCGACUUAUCACCGCAACAAGCACGAAGACAAACCUUCGAGAGGAAACCGCCUGACCAGGGGUGUUGGAGAUAGCGGGGUGUUUGACUAAGGGUGUUGGAGAUAGCAGUCUUUUGAUGAAAGCCCUUUUUUUCUCACGAAAAGGGAGUUUUAGGAAACCCCACUCAAAGCCGGAGGAACCCAUUUCUCAAUUUCUGAACGCUCGAGGAAGAUGGAAGAGAAGACUGAAGAGGAUUUGAUGGCUUGACAGAAGAAAUUCCGAACCAGAAUUUAUAGAGCCCCCAGAGGAUAGUUCAAAGGUCGUGAGGAGAGCAAGGGGCACAGGGUUGCCUUCAUCCUGCCUAGAAAACACGAAGUUCCAAAAGAUUGAUAUACACGCAUGCGGAUAUUCAAUCAAUGAUGGCGCCUGGGAUUCCAACCUUAACAUUAAUUGAAGGGGGCACUGUUUGGAUCAAAACUUGAACUUUGGGCUCAAGAAAAGAGCUGGCCCAAAAGGAGGCCCGAAGGGAAAGACAACCGAAGCCCAGUCAAAGCCCAGAAAGCAGAAAAGGCCUUUUCUGACUUGGUGCAGCUCAUAAAGACCACUUGCUUACCUACCCAAAGGCCAAGUGGUAUAGACUGACCAGCUACACAGCCCAUAAAGUACUUUAUGAUGGCAGUACAUGUAAAAUAGCUGAUGAGUCAUCACCAUUCAAACCGCAUUCGGGCAAGGUUACUGCUAUAGGAGACCAAGCCGAGUUGUCUAUAUAAGAAGAAAGAGAAACCAGGAAUAAGGACACUCAAUCAAACAAACAAAUGCAAGCACAAACUCUGCUCAAAGCCAGAUUUGCCUUCAAAACGAAGCUGUAGUCAGCCCAAGCAUUCAUCCCUCUCGGGAUAAACCUUCACUCAAACCCUUGUAAUAGCUCUGCUACCUUGUUCAACCUUGCUGUAGUAUCGAUUCAUCUUUUGUAAAUCUCUCCCUCUCCCUGAAGCUUUCAUACCCUUGAUAAACCACAAAGAUAGGAACCUGCAAGACGACCAGACUUGUCCGACAAGGUUAAACCUUGCCCGACCUUCUUUGUUUUUGUCUUUUCAUUCAUUAGCCUAGCAAUAUGUUGUUUACUUCCAGUUAUAUUCAAGUUAUUUCUAGCAAGAUGACUAUUAAAAGGCUUUCUCAGUACUGGGAUCCGAUUUGAAUAUAUCUUCAGUGUUCAAACCAGAUCCAAGUCCUAAGCCCUCGGGCAUGUAAAUCUGAUUAGUUAAAAGUCCUUAGCCUCAAGGCAUAAAAAAGAACCUUAUGUGGACUUAACCCAUCCACGACAAUCCUUGAUAAACGAGAAGUCCGAAGUUACUUGGGGCGCAAGUAAUCGACCUACCUCUUAGUCUUAUUUCAAUUACAUUAUGAUUAUCAUAGAACGCUUAAGCAUGUGAAGGAUUCUAAUAGGAAGCCUCAAGGCCUACACCUAAGGCCCCACAAAGGCACCUAUUUGGAUUCAUUCCGUUCUGCGGUCUAGAACGUUUGAGUAUAAGAACGAACUCUAAUAUGAAGCCUCAAGGCCUACACCUAAGGCCCUACAAAGGCACCUAUUUGGGUUCAUUCUACUUCUCGAACUCGGGUAAUCAGAAGUAUAAUAGUUAUAAGACUCAUGCAUGCACAAGAACAAAUAUGAUGUGUUUGAGCACUGGUUUAGUUAUUGAUAGGAAGCCUCAAGGCCUACACCUAAGGCCCCACAAAGGCACCUGUUAUAACUAACACGGUUUCUCGGGUAUAUACAUAUACAACCAAAACUCGACAUCCAUUUCACAUCUGCCAUACUAAAGAUGGCAGUGGCACGCCUGAAUACUUAAAAGUUAACCUUGAUUGUGAGCCUCAAGGCCUACACCUAAGGCCCCACAAAGGCACCUCUCAAAGUUAACUCUGUCCUUCUCUUUCAGCCUUGCCCGACGAGCCUUGCCCGAAGAGUCUUGCCCGACGAGACUUGCCCGACAAAGCCUGACAGGGAAGCAGAAGCCCGACAGCAGCCCUCAACCGGCGCCAACCUCCCGGGGAACUGUGUGCUCGUCGGCCAGGAAACAUCCCCGACGAAAAUUCCUGACGCGAACACAACUUGCAAUUUCGUUGAGAAUACGAGAGGAAUCUCUUGAUUUACCACAAUUACCAGAUGACAGUCUUAUAAGAAAACCAAUCUUUGAAAGUAUCAAGAAACAAUUUUAUGAGCUGCAGAUGGGAAAUCAAAAGGAAAGUAUAGCUCGUCCUCUUAUUUGGAUUGUAGCGUCUAUUGCCAUGGUCCCAGUCCUGUCAGGUUCCAUCUUCUGCUAUCAAACACAAUGUUCAGUUGAUGUAUGCAUUUUCCCUUCUUCUUGACCUUGUAUUAGUGAGACAGAUCAAUGUUAGACUAGGGAUUCCAAUGAGAUGUUUGUCCUUUGUUUUUCGAGGUUGGCAAAGAGUAUUGUGCAGUUUAAGAUCUUGCCUUUCACAGUACUAUUUGCGAAUAUAAGUCCUCGAGGAUGUGAAGGAUCACUGCCUUUCACAGAAUGCUCAACGAGAAGGAGAAGGGAGAAUGCUCUUAUGUCAUUUUUAUUAUUUUUAUUAAUAUAUUUUCUGUCGAUUUUAUCCGACAGAAAUUCACUUAGUUAUAUUAUUAAUAUAUUCCCUGUCGGUUUUAUAUAUUUUCUGUCGGUUAUAUCCGACACAAUUUCUGUCGGUUUUAUAUUUUCUAUCAGUUUUAUAUUUACUGUCUGUUAUAUCCGACACAUUUUUUGUCGGUUUUAGAGUAUUUUAUGUCGAAAAAUUCAUUUCCUGACGCUGGCAAAUCUGUCGCUAUAAUAUCUGCCACUGCAUCAUUUCUGUCGGAUUUUGCUUAAUAUCCGACAAUAAUACAUAUUUCUUGUCAGUUAUCAUAGCGCCACUAAUAAAUGGUUUUGUAGCAGUGCAAUCUCAUAAAAACAUUCGGUUAAAAGCCUUUGAUAGUGGCAUGCUUGUUCUCACCAUUUCUCUCAAGGCUCUCCUUGGCAUUGAGACCAGGUUCGAUCAACUAGGAACGAACCUUACUCAAAGCUCAUCUUCGUUUUUUUUAAAAGAGAUUCAUAAUAUCUCAAUGAUCAUCGUCUCAAUCUUUUAACGAUUAGUGAUGGAUUUCAAGCUAUCUCCGGCGACUAGCGAUGGAUUUCAGUUAUCGAGGGACGAGUUUGAACUCGUCAGAUUUGAGGGUACCCAGAGUAUUGUUUCAUACUAAUUUCUCGAAAAUCCGUUGAAAAUCAUGAUGUUGUGGUAGUUAAACAAUGAAUAAUAUUUCAAAGAGUUUAAAAAACUGAAUUUAGAAAAAAAGGGUCAGAGACGAAGAAUAGAGAAAACACACUCACAGAGAUUGAGAGAGGAGAUAGAUGAUGACGUACGUAGCCACAGCUUCAAGGCCGAUGUGCUCUUCACAAACCCAAGUGCCCAUUUCACCUAUUGUGAAGGGCACUGCCCUCAAUAGCAAUGGUAUUAUCAAUUGCCGUCGGAGAAACAAUGGCGUUUGUUUGAUUAAGGCCAUGAAAAGCUCGUCUCCCCCACGACUAACCUUGUCGAGCAACUGGGAUUUUCCCUCAGCUACUACUUUAGCUCCAAGGUUGCCUAGAUUCGAAGAGCUCGAUACCACCAAUAUGUUUCUCCGUCAAAGAAUCAUCUUUCUGGGUUCUCAGGUUCUCUUUCUCUCAUAAUUUGGGUUUUCUUGCUUCAGCAUUGAAUAUUUUUGACAUGGGUUUUGCUGCUACUUGUGAAAUUUGGACUCGUUACUGUUUGUUGAAAGUUUAGUUCAAAAUUUGAUGGGAUUACUGUGUGUGUUUGUGUUUCUUAUUUACAAAAGGACUAAACUUGUGAAUAGGAAGGGUUGCUUUAUCUAAUUUUCUCUUCAUAUUUCUACCGGUGGGCAGGUCGUUGACAUGACGGUGGAUUUGAUCAUUAGCCAACUUUUAUUUCUAGAUGCUGAGGACCCUAAAAAGGACAUUAAACUGUUUAUGGCUAAAUAGCUAAAAUGGUCACUGAGAUUUGCAUACUUCUCGAUGAGAUGAAGGAUGUCUUGGUCUCAAGUUAGCCGCUUUCGAGCCGUUUUUUGGCCAAACCAUGGUGAUUUAGCCGUCUACAAAGGUACCAUUCUCUUCGUCUCAUCGAGAAAUAUGAUUUUCAUUUUUGAAUCACUUGAUUUCGUUGAGUAUUGAAGAAGUUAUGAAUGUUUAAAGUUUACCCAGUUUCCGGCUAGUUUUCCAGUUUUCCCUCGAACCAGUCAACUUUGAGGCUAUUUUCUGGCUAUCUCCGGCAGCCAUUGGGCUUCCAAAUAGGUAUAAUCUUAUUCUACACUUUCCUAUCUUCAUUUUGAUAUAUUAUGGGUCGAAUUUGGUUAAGAAACGAUUAAGUUAUGAAGCUUUGAAAAUUGCCCAAACUUCCGACCAAGAGCUCCGGGACACUUAACGGAAUUUUUAACGGAAUGACCAAAAUGAUGGAUGGUGGAUAAUAUCAGGGACCACUUUUAUUGAUUUGAAAUGUUAGGGACCAAAGUGAUGAGUUAUGCAAAUUUCAGGGACCAUUUUGGCUAUUUAGCCAUUGUUUAUCAAUUCACCCUGUGGUUCUGUUACUGCUGAUAUGAUUUAAAUAUACUUGGCAUGUUGGAUCUUGCAUCUCUCCUCAAUUAUUGCCUUCUGGUUCUUAUUUAUCCUUGAUAUUUGAGAUAACAAAACAUACAAAUGAAGACAUUUAGUAAGGCCCACAAACGGGUUGGGCAAAAAAAAUGUCCAUAAAAAAAAAAAAAAGUGUGCUUGCUCAUCGUGCUAGCUGGCUGGUUGGAAAUGGCUAGCCCGCUGACCUGAUUGGCUAGUUUUGACACGAUGAGGCCCACAAACCCUUUAGCCUAGCCUUCGGUUUGAAACGGUUUCGUGUCAUUUCAUGUUAUUUUCAACCCUAUGGUCCUCUGGCCGGAUCAGUUGAAGAUGGCCUAAUCUGACAACACCCACAAAACAGUCUGUUGGGAGCCUCCUGAUAGGAUUUUUACCGUCUAUGAAAAGAAGGUUAAAAUCACACAAAAUACUUGCAAGAAUACAAGGUUAUUGUAGUACAAAUGCUCAUGCAAGGUCGUUCUCCUCAAUAACUAUUUUAAUAAUUUAUGUAAAAACAAUUCCUAAUUAUCUACUUAGAAUUAAAAACUGAGAAAAGAGAUUUGACUUUUGAAAUUUUAAUUAACAACUAAUAAUAAAUUUCCCCCAAACGAAUACGAUAAAAUAAAAGAGUUUUAAAUACCAAUUUAUAAAAGCACUAGGGUUCCACCAUCACCUAGCAAUCAUAUGAAUUUUUACCAAUUACUUAUGAUCUACACAUGCCACUUUGAAGGUUAGGUAUAUCUAGCAUCGGACGUUCGGAUCAAAUAUGAACACGAGAGACUCAUUAUGUUUUAUGAAAACCCUUUGAAAAACCAUGCAACCCUUAAGACGUGAUGUUCAUUUUAAGUGAAAUUACAAUUAUUAAUCACAAGAAGCCAGCGUCAAUUUCAGGGAACCUUCAGACCAAAAUUGCAUCAAAUUACUUUUUUAAAGAUCAUAAUGGUGAUCAGACAUUAAAACAAUUAGAUAGUUUAAAACAGUGAUCAUUAAUUCAAAGCAUGUAUGCAAUCAAUCGUAAACAAUUAAAUAAAAAUACAUAGGCAUGGAACUCAAGUAACGACAUGAACGGAUCCAAAGUCUUGGGGAGCCAUGCAUUGCCGUGGAAAACCAAAUAACGACAUGAAGAAUGGCCCACGAAAAUAGACGCAAAGCAGCCCAUUUUGCUGCUCACACGAAUGACGCACGACACACGAACACCAGAAACCCUAGCUGCCUUAAUUCAACAUCGGAUGCCCUUUAUACAUUCGCUUUGAGGUCACAGCCAACGGCUAUUUUCUCUCAAUUUUUUAUUAUGUUUUGACACGCCGUUCUCUCGCUAGUAAUUGAGAGAGAUCUCUCAUUACUCUCAGCCUUCUCUCUCCUUGAAAAUUAGAAAUGGCUCUCCAUUAUUGCAAACCUUCUUCUCUCAACGCCCAUUAUUGCAAACCUUCAUCUCUCUAAACUCUUCAUCCACUCUGCAACCAAUGACCCAACAAACAUACACACCUCCGUUUCUCUAUAAUCCAGCCGUGGUGGAGUAAGCAUGAAAAGCUGAGAUGCAUGAAGCUAAAUCCCUCCUCCAUUUGUGUGUUUUUUUUUCUCAUUGCAGAUUUAUGUAUCGGAAUGAAAUGUAGCAAGAUUUAACACAUGCAUGUGUGUUUAUCUGUGUGAGGAACCCCAAUCGUUGCAAAUCCGAGAUAAACAACAAGAUAAACCCCCCUGAGUCGCCAACUCCGAGAGCACAGAGCUGUUCCAGCGCCCCCAAGCUUGCAAUCUCAGCGGAUCUACACCUCAGGUACAUAAAAAUAGAUCCCCCUUUCGUUUAAUCUUCGAAUGUAGAACACGAUCAGCACUAUUUUACAAUGCAUGCGUUGGAUCCUUUCCUUUCGUACGACACCCAUUUCGGAUUUAAACUAAAUUUGAAACUGAAAGUUGGUUUUGUAGGGAAAAAAAAUUAUUGGUGGCCUGCACAGAACGAAGGAAAGGUUGUCUUGGAUAUCACAGAUCCUGGCAGAAGCUUCCACGAACCCCAGAUCUGUGCAUCUGGGAGGUAAAAUUUCGAAUCCUAGGAAGUUUAGUUGUAGUUCUGGUAGUAAUAGCUGUACUCAGUAAUGUGGUGUAUGGAUAUGUGAUUUAAUUGUGCUUUUCUCAUCCAUGCAUCGCAAAACUGAGCUGCAGAAAAGAACUCAAAAUUAUGCCACGGUAUUGGAUUCGCAACAACCACCUCCAAACUUGUAUACCAUCCCGAUUAAUGUCUGGACAUUUGAAAAUUAAGAAAUGACGCCUAAACCAGUUGAGUCGCCUGCCUAAAUCAUCUAGGCACCCGUUUAGCCCACUCAGACCCACCUAGGUUACGACUCACUUAGAUAGAAAAUAAUAACUUUUAAUUUGCAUUUAAUUUUUUUCAACAAAUUGUAAGAAAUUUGUUGAAUACUUAAAUGAGCACACAUUAUAUGCUUGUUUCCGAUUUUUUCAUUAUGUUCCAAUACCUCAUAAUACAUAUGUCAUUUUAUUUUGUAAUUUAUGAUGAAAUUAUAUAUAUUAAGUAUGCAUAUACACUAAUUUACACGAAAUAUAAUGGAUUUACUCAAAUCCUUCUAGUCCACCUAGAUCAUGCCUAGCCACUUAGGCGCUAGGCCCCAACAUGCUACUCAACUAGCGUCUAGCGCCUUUUAAAACCUUGGUGUAGAUGUGAUUGAUAUUAAUGUAGACUUGUUGCUUGGUGCAUGAUCCAGUAUAGGAUAAUCCGCCCUUGUUUUUCCUGGUUGCAACCUGCAAUUAACCAAUAUGCGAUAAUAAAAAAUAAAAUCAAUUAGGUACAUAAAAACAAAAAGCAAUAGAUUUUAGGAUUUUUUUUUUCUUAUUUUUUGGGUACUAUUUUUUUUAUUUAUGCAGAUUUUUUUUUUUAAUUUUGUUUUUGUGAUGAUAUGAAAACUCAGCUAUGUGAGUGCAUCUAGAAAGUCAAACCAAUAAUAAAAUGGAAAAUCAAACGAAAAAUAAAAAAGUAAAGAGUUUAGAAAAAUUGGGUUGCCUCCAAAUAAGCGCUUUGCUUUAAAUCUGUAGUUAGACGUCGGAGAGGUCCGGUGGCUAGCUCAAUGGUUCCUUCAGAGUCAAAGACUCGCUUGCACCAAUUUUCCCUAUGAAUGGUUUAAGUUGAUGUUUGUUAACCUUAAAUGCGAAACCUUUGCCCUUAGCCUUGAUAUCCAUGUUACCAUUUUGAAAAACUUUAGUAACUAAGAAAGGGCAUUUCCACUAAGACUCUUAUUUCCCUGGAAAUGACUUAUAUGAACUUAACAAACACACUUUUUUACCAAGCUGUAUUUUCUCACGACUUGGACUGCUUUGUAACUUUUUAUUCUUGCCUUUGACAUUCAGAUGUUUUUGGUCAUUCUGGUGGCUUGGAUAGUUGUCAAACAAUGUCGAUUCUGUUUUUUAUUUUUGCACAUCAAGCACUUGGAUUUUGUGUUGCUGACCCUUAAUAGUUUUGUCAUCAUGACUUACAUUUAAAGACUUUAGGGAUAGAUGGUCAUUUGAUGAUCUGUUUUUACACUUGUCACAGGCUGAACCAUCUAACGCAUCAAUACGCAUGCAUUCAUGUUUGUCAUCUAGAUGUGCGGCGACUUAGGGUGGUUGUUUGUGUUGUUUUUCUUAGAUUUGCAAAGUUUGGGGGGUCCACAUACAGAUACAAACACAUGCAUGGGUUCGAACUUGCUACAUUUCACUUAAACAAAUAAACCUGAAACGAAAGUCAUAAGAUUUGAGGAUGUUUUACCUUUAGCACCUCCGAUUUUCAUCAAGCUCCACCAUGGAUGGGUUAUCAAGGCAUGAAGGUGUGUUUGUUUUUGGGUUAGUGAUUGCAGAAAAUGAUGAAGAGCUAAGAGAGAGAGUGGGGUUGCUGUGAAAUGAAUGGGUUAUAAGAAUGGGGGUUGGGUUUGAGUUAUAGAAAUAAGGGUUACUUGUCAUAUUCUAGAGAGCGAUUGAUUGAUGGUAUAUGGACAUAUGAUGCUAUAUUAGGAAUCCUAAGAGUCUAUGUGAAGGUUGUUUGAAAAUAAGAACGGAAGAGCCGUUUGGUUCUGGGUGCGAGGAGAUGAAGAGAGCCGUUGGCUUUGGGCUCGAGGCAAAUGGAUGCAAAGCAUCCAAUGUGAGAUUAAUGACAACUAGGGUUUCUAGCACCCGUGUGGCACGCGUGUGAGCUUCCAAUUGGGGUUUCGAACUCAUGAAGAUGAGUCCAAACAAUGUUGAGCCUCUCACGUGCUGAAUGAUGCAAGAUUUGGCUAAUUGCUGAUAGGUCGCACAUAAUAAAAUGUGUGAAAAUUAGAUAGUGGGCUGCGAGAAAAAAAUUGCAGCCCAAUUGGUAGCUCACACGCGUGCCACACCGGUGCUAGAAACCUUAUGUCACAUCUCGACCCGAGCUUCACCACAUCCCGGGCUCGACUCCACCGUAACACGAUAUUGUCCGCUUUGGGCCCCGACCAUGCCCUCAUGGUUUUGUUUCUGGGAACUCACACGAGAACUUCCCAGUAGGUCACCCAUCUUGGGAUUGCUCUCGCAUGAACUCGCUUAACUUUGGAGUUCCAAUAGAACCCGAAGCCAGCGAGUUCCCAAAAAGCCUCAUGCUAUAUGGAGGUGGGCAUGUACAUAUAAGGCACAUCACCCCUCUCUCCGUUGGUCAAUGUGAGAUAUUACUAUCCACCCCUUUUAGGGGCCCGACAUCCUCGUCGGCACACUCGCACCGAAUGGUAGAGUAAAUCUGAUACCAAAUUGUCACAUCCCGACUCGGGCUCCACCAUAUCCCGGGCUAGACUCUGUCGUAGCACGAUAUUGUCCGCUUUGGGUCUUGACCACGCCCUCACAAUUUUGUUUCUAGGAACUCACACGAGAACUUCCCAAUAGGUCACCCAUCCUAGGAUUGCUCUCAUGCAACUCACUUAACUUCAGAGUUUCGAUAGACUCUGAAAUCAGUGAUUUCCCAAAGGGCCUCGUGUUAUAUGGAGGUUGACAUGUAUAUAUAAGGCACAUCAUCCCCUCUCUGUUGGCCGAUGUGGGAUGUUACACCCUAGCUAGCUCGAGCCCAUAGCCAACGGUUUUUUUCAUUUCCUCGUAUCCAUUGUCAAAUGGCUCUUCUGUUUUUAUUUUCAAACGACCCUCAUAGAGACCCUUAGGAUUCCCAAUAUAACAUCACAUGUUCCUAUGCCUUCAAUCACUCGCUCUCUAAAAUAUGAAAAGUAGCCCUCAUUUCUCUAACUCAAACCCAACGCCCAUUCUUACAACCCAUUCAUUUCACAACAGCCCCACUCUCUAUCUCUUAGCUCUUCGUCCUUUUCUGUAGCCAUUAACCCAGAAACAUACACACCUCACCCAGAAACAUCCUCAAAUCCUGUGACUUUCGUUUCAAGUUUAAUUGUUCUAACCCAUGCAUGUGUUUGCACGGAACAAAAGAAAGGAUGUCUUCUAGGAGGCCACAGAUUUGGACAAACAGAAGGUAUAAAACCCUUGUGAUUUCAAGCAUGUAGACUGAUCUGCAAAGCAUAGCUAUAUUUAUCCUCGAUUCGCUCAUAACUCAGUUUUCCAUUUUUUUUUCUUCUUAUGUGCAAGACAUUCGGAUCCAUAAUAGUUCCAAGAGAAGUGAACGCCUUAAGCUGCCAAACCAGUAAUUCCUCAAAGGCAAAAUAAACUCCAAAGUCUCGGUUUCUGCAAUUAGGAAGGUAGAAAGAAAUCUGUCUUCUGCAUUUGUUUGGCUUAACACAUAGCUUUGAAUACAUUUCAUAUAUUCUGUGAUGUCAACCCUAAACUGAUUUUAUAAGAACUGGGACAUGUAAACAUUUGAAAACAACUUGGAUCUCCAAAUUGGUAAAGAUUUCGGACUAAACAUACUUGCUCUCAGAAAAACAAAAUGAAUUAAUCCUUGAAUCAUUUCUGAGAACAUAUAUGUGGACAAAGUGAACUGGAACCGUGAAGAUGACUAAUGAAGAACCUAUUCUAGACUUACAAAGUGACUUACUAUUCAACUCCAAUGCAUGAGUAAUAGAUCUGCUGAAAAAUAGUCUUGUCUACUGAAUAACUAAUGAAUUUGGUUGUUUUGUUUUUGUUGUGCAAGGAACCAGCAUCUGGAAGCUUGACAUGAGCAAACCAAAGGAAGAGGAGUUUGGUCAUCACAGAUCCCAAACUGCAUUUGCAACGAACAAAUCAUGGCAAAAGCUUCCAUAAACCCCAAAUCUGUGCAUCUGGGAGGAAAUUUUUUGAAUCCCUGCAAGUGUAAUUGUUGUAGAUCUGGUAAUAAAAGUUGUACUCAGUUGUGUGGUGUAUGGAUAUGUGAUUUAACUGUGCUCCUCAUCCAUGCAUCGCAAAACUGAGCAACAGAAAAUAACUGUUCAAAAUUGUGGCAUGGCACUGGAUCUACAAAAACCACCCCCAAACUUGCAUAUGUGAAUGUGCUCAUGUUAAUUACUUUAAAUUUUAGCAUAGGGUAGAUGUGGUUGAUGUUAAUGUAGAUUUGUUGCUGGGUGCAUGAUUCCAGUAUAGGAUGCUCUUUAUUUUCCAUUUAUGCAACCUGCAAUUAACCAAUAAUUGUGAAAAUUAAAAACAGAGCUAAAAUCGACUAAGUAGAUAAAGAAAACAACAUUUUUUUUCUUUAUUUUUGUGGUUUUAUGUAAAAUAAGAUAUGAGAAUGCAUCUAGUAAGUUAAGCUAAUAAUAAAAUGGAAAAUUAAACGCAAAAUAAAAUAAGGAAAUAGUUUAGAAAAAUUGGGUUGUAAGCAUUUUAUUUUAAGUUUGUAGCUAGAUAUUGUCGAAGGUUGGUGGCUAGAUCACUGGUUUCUUCAGAGUCAAAGACUCGUCUGUAGUAUUGAAGGAUGACUCCACAUAUGGUUUCAGCAUGUGACCAUUCAUCUUGAAUGUGUUGCCUUGAGCUUUAUUAGUUAUUUCAAUUGCCCCAUGAUAAUAGACUUUAGUAACCAGAUAAGGCACAAUCCAGCGAGAUUUUAACUUCUUUGGGAACAACUUUGGCCUUGAACUAAAUAACAAAACUUUUUGCCCUAGCUGAAAUUCCUUCCUUAAAAUUUGACUAUCAUGAAACGCCAUAGUUCAUUCCUUGUAGAUGCGAGAACUUUCAUAGGCAGACUAAUGAAUUUCCUCUAGCUCAUUAAGCUACAAUUUGCGUUUUUCCCAACUGAAUCAUACGAAAAAUUUAACUCUUUAAUUGCCCAGUAAGCCUUAUGUUCAAGCUCCAUAGGUAGAUGACAUGUUUCCCAUAAAUGAGUCAAAAUGGAGACAUCCCAAUAAGAGUCUUGUAAGCCCACAAAGCACCAUUUAAUUUUAAACUCCAAUCCUUACGUGUAAAACCAAUUGUUUUAUCCAAAAUGCGCUUUAAUUCUCUGUUUGAAACUUCAACUUGACCAGAUGUAUGUGGAUGAUAAGGUGUAGCCACGUGAUGAUUAAUCUCAUACUUUGCCAGUAAAUUAGCAAAUGGUUUAUUAACAAAAUGAUUCCCCCCAUCAUUUAGAAUAACGUGCAAAAUUCCAAAACACAGAAAUAUAACCCCCUGAAGGAACUUUAGGACCACUAAUUCUUGAUUAGUUAGUGUUGCAAUGGCCUCGACCCACUUAGAAACAUAUUCCACUUCAACUAAAAUAUAUUGGUUCCCAUUAGAAGAUGGAAACGGUCUCAUGAAAUCAAUACCUCAAACGUCAAAUAAUUCAACAAUUAAAAUACUUUGUUGGGGCAUCUCUUUCCUUUUGGAUUGGUUGCCAACCAUUUGACACUUGUCACAAGCCUUGCACUAAUUAUUUGCAUCUUUAAAAAGUGUAGGCCAAAAUAAACCACUCUACAAAAUUUUCUCCACUGUCAUUUUCUGCCCAAAAUGUAAAUGUCCCCACAUGCAAAAUGAUGAGCAAACUUUAAAACACUUGCCUAUUCAGCCUCAGGAAUGCACAUGCAAAUAAUCUGGUCGAGGCAGUACUUGUAUAAGUACAGUACAUCCCAUAAAUAAUGCUUUAUAUCAGAUAAAAACCUCUUUUUCUGCUAAAACGAAAAAUCUAGAUGCUCCUCACCCUUAGCCAAAUAAUUAACAAUAUCAGCAAACCAAUGUGUAUUAAUUUGGACAGCAAAUAGUUUUUCAUCUGCAAAACUUUCACUCAAUGGAAAGAUUCUUCUUCUGUAGCUGUCGGAAUAAUUAAUCUGGAUAAAUGGUCAGUCACCACAUUUUCACUACCCUUUUUGUCUUUAAUUUCUAAGUCAAAUUCUUGAAGUCAAAGAACCCAACGAAUCAACCUAGGCUUUGCAUCCUUCUUAAACAACAAAUAUUUAAGAGCAUCAUGAUCAUUAUAAACAAUUACCUUAGCCCCAACCAAAUAAGACCGAAACUUCUCUAACGUAAACACAACUACCAAUAAUUCAUUCUAUAUGGUUGCAUAGUUGAGCUAUGCAUCAUUAAGAGUACAACUUGCAUAAUAAAUGACAUGGGGAAGCUUGUCUUUACGUUGCCUUAAAACUGCCAUAAUGGCAUAAUCUGAAGCAUCACACAUUAAUUCAAAUGGUAAACCCCAAUCUGGUGCAACAAUGAUGGGUGCCUAAGUUAGGAGUGAUUUCAACUUGUUAAAUGCUUCUAAACAAGCCUCAUCGAAAUAAAACGAUGCAUCUUUAGCCAAUAAAUUGCACAGAGGUCGGCUAAUUUUAGAGAAAUCCUUAAUGAACCAGCGGUAAAAUCCUGCAUGUCCCAAGAAUGAUCUGACACCUUUUACUGAUGUAUGGGGUGGCAGAUUUGCAAUAACAUCAAUCUUGGUUUUAUCAACCUUAAUGCCUUUGUUAGAAAUCGAAUGACCUAAAAUAAUGCCCUGUCAUAAAAUGACAUUUUUCCUAAUUUAGCACUAAAUUUGUCUCUUGACAUCUCUCAAGAACUAAUGAUAAAUUAUGUAAGCACUGAUCAAUUUAAUCCCCAAACACAGAAAAAUCAUCCAUAAAAACUUCGACAAUAUUUUCGACCAAGCCAGAAAAAAUACUCAUUAUACAAUGUUGAAAAAUAGCUGGUGCAUUGCAUAACCCAAAUGGCGUCCUCCGAUAAGCAAACGUCUCGAAUGGGCAUGUAAAAGUUGUCUUCUCUUGGUCCUCUGGUGCAAUUGGAAUCAGAUUGUGCCCAGAAUAACCAUCUAAGAAACACUAGAAAGCCCUUACCAGCCAAUCUUUCUAAAAUUUGGUCAGUAAACGGUAAUGGGAAGUGAUCUUUUCUUGUAGCUGCAUUUGGUUUCCUGUAAUCUACACACAUACGCCAGCCUAUAGUUAAACGUGUAGGAACAAGCUCAUUAUUGUCAUUUUUAAUCACUGUAAUUCUGGAACGUUUAAGCAUAACAUGCGUAGAACUCACCCAUUAACUAUCUGAAAUAUGAUAAAUCAUACCAGCAUCCAGUAAUUUCAUAACUUAUGUUUUGAUAACUUUCAUAAUUUGAUUAAGGCGGUGUUGAGCAUCUAUUGUUGGCUUCACGUCUUCUUCCAUUAAAAUUCUGUGCAUGCAAAGUGCUGGGCUAAUACCCUUGAUGUCGGCUAUUGUCUAUCCCAAUGCAUCUUGAUAUUUUCUCAAAACACGAAACAAUUUAUCUUCUUCUGUCGAUGUAACACCUCACCCCCAUUUUAUUUAAAAAUGGUUUUUAAUUCUUAAUUGGUGUGCCCAAGGGCCCACCUUCUAUUUUUGUGUCCCCCAUUCCCGUCACUCUUCCUUCUCUCUCUGUCCCUCCCCCGUGAACUCCCUUCUUUCUUCUUCUUCUUUUCUGUUUUCUUUUCUUCCUUCUUCUUCUUCUUUUUCUGUCUGUCAUGUCUCUCUCCCUUCUCUCGGACCUCUCUCAGCUCCCUUAUCUCUCUUCUCAACCGCGAACGCACGCACGCAACCAUCUCCCCUGCGCGAGGAAGACCCCACAUCGUCGCCAUCUCGUCCUUCUCCCCCUCUGUCCCGUGCUGCAACCCCAGGAAACCCGGAAAGGAACUCCGGCGAGUUCCUAUUUUCCCGGUGAGGUAAGCCUCAAAUCUCCCUUAUUUCGUCCAAGAAUCUUGUGGGUUGAAUUUUAAUUGAGUUUAUUGUGUGAUUUUUGGAGGUUAUAGGACGAAAUCGAAGCCGGGUGUAGGCACACCCAUCUCCGACGACUUUCGAGAGAAUUUCCGGCCAAACCACGGCGAGUUGGCCGGCGUGCAAGGUAUCAAUCUCUUCGUCUCGUCGAGUACUAUAACUUUCCUUUUUGUUUCACUCAAUUUCAUUGCGUAUUGAAGACGUUAUACUCAUUUGAAAUCUUACCCAGUUUCCGGCGACCUCCGAGGCUUUCGAGGCAAUUUCCGGCCAAACCACGGCGAGUUAGACGUCGUGUGAGGUAUCAUUCUCUUCGUCUCUUCCAGGGAUACAACUUUCAUUUUUGUCUCGCUUGAUUUCGUUGAGUAGUGACAAAGUUAUGGCCGUUUAAAGUGGGAUGGUUUUCCGGCCUUCUCUCCCAUUGGAUCCGGCGACCCACCAAAACCCAAGGCUUUGGGCCUUCCCUGCCUAGCCCAGCCCGUUUUUAUUCUAUUUAAUUAUUUAUUUUCAGCAGCCCAAAGGGCCUUGGGCCGGUUUUGAGUGAAAGGGCUUAAAGCCCGGUCCUUGUGUGAGGCCUUAAGGCCUUUGUGGUUUGUGUGUGUGUGUGUUUAAGUGCAUGCGUACGUGUGUGUAUAUGCAUGCUUGCAUGCAUGUGCAUGCCGUGAAUGUGUGUGUUUGUGUGGUGCGUGUGUGUGUUUGGCUUAGGCCCAAACCACCCAUUUUCACCCUAAACCCUUUAUAACCCAAAUCCUUUAAAACCCUAAAUCCAUCCAAUUCCAAAUUCCCUAUUUUAUUUAAUUCAAACCCUUCGUAGGGUAAUUCGACGUUUUGAAUCCGUUUCCAAUGUCCAUUUUCCCAAAUUCAAUUGCUAUAAUAGAGUUUUAUUAAUUGGACUCUUUAUGUGAUUAGGGGCAAUUAUAUGUGGCAUUCCUUCUUUGAUAGUUUGCGUGGCUCUUCGGCGGCUAAGUACUGUGAGUGGACCCCUUCUAAAAUGCAUGUUUUAUAGUAGAAAUGCAUAUAUGAAAAGCAUGAUUUGAUGAUUACGUUUUAUGAAACGUUUUGUGAGAUAACAUGCUUACUAAGGCUACUUUGAAUUAUUACUAUUUUUCCUAUAACCCGUGUUCUUAUAGAAUAUCUGAUGGAUGACGAUAUAAUAUUUAGAACAUGUUUCAAACACCUCUUUAUAGUAUAGAUGAUGAAUGACUUUAUACUAUGAAGUUGUUUUUCAAUAUAUAUAUGUUCAAUGGUUUUGUACCUACCUAGUGGUCCUUUCCGCUACGGGACGUAGGGAUAGAUUCUGGUCCGUUCCGGGCGACGGUUUGGUGUUGGCAUAGGGCCUGGAGUAUGUUUCCUCUGGCUAUUUAGCACAGGGACGGGGAGCCGGCAUGGGGCCUGAAGUGUAUUUUCCUCUGACUGUCUGCUCAGAGACGGGGAGCCGGCAUGGGGCCUGGGGGUUAUCGGACAAUUCACUAGUGAUUAUUAUAUAUACAAGUUAUGAUUUGAGACACUGCACAUCAUGCUAGGUUUCGGAAAACCUAUGUUUAUCAUUAUAUAUGUGUUUUCAUAAAACCUGGGGGUUAGUACGUUGAUAACUGUUUAUUAUAUAUAUAUCAACUUGGUCCACUCAUAUUUGUUUUGCGCCCCCUUCAGGACUUAGAAUCGAGGCAUACAAUUCCGGCAUCCAGGCACUUCCGCAUCGGUAUCUUCGAGUCCUCUCGGUGUAGGACCCACUUCUGUGUUCAUUCAAUUUUUUUAUAUUAAUUCUUUUAAUGUUCUAGAUUAGAUGUGUGCUCUGAACACGUUCCUUAAAUACAUAUUCAUUAUUCUUUUAUAGUUAUAAGUCUUAAUUAUUCCUUAUUUUCAGCAAUUGCACUCAAUAAUUGGUUUUCGUCACCCUCGGGUGUCGGCCAGCACGUGCAUAUCCUGGUAUUCGGGGAAUAUCGGGAUCGGGGCGUGUCAGUUGAAGUUAAAUCUGCUGCAACAAUAACUGGCUAUGUUUCUAGAGUCCCUAAAUGUGCAUAUUUUAAAUGUUCUAGCAAAGGCUUCAGCUCCAAUUUUGGUAGCUACUGUCUAGACUGUUUAAGGGGUUGUUUAGGCUCCCAUAAGCUUGCAUAAACAGUUCUCCACCUGGGCAACUGUGUUGGCAGACUGUCCAAUACAUAAAUGUACUCAAGAACCCUUUAUCUUCAGAAUCUGACCCAAUUUUCCCUUGUAAAACAUGCAACAACUGAUCUGAAAUUGAAUUAGCCUGAAAAUUGCCUUGAACCACACUGUCUAACACAUCAAUGCACAUACACUAUUGUUGUUUAGCAUGACGUUUGGAUGCCUCAAAAAAAUUAAAUACAACAGAUUGAUCUUGAACUCCUAAAGUUAGUGUUCCAGCUUCCACAUCAAUUAUUGUCGUAGAUGUUGCCAUGAACGAUCUUCCCAAAAUUAUGGGCGUUUUUUAGGUCUUCAUCCAUGUCUAAAACCACAAAAUCUGCCGGUAAAUAAAGAUUAUCAACUUUAAUAUUGAUAUUUUCAAUAAUGCCCUUAGGAUAAGUCAUUGAACAGUCAACUAGCUAAAGAAUACUUGAUGUAGGCUUUAAAUCUCCUUGUCCUAAUUAUUGGAAAACAGAAAAUGACAUUAAAUUAAUAUUGGCACCUAAAUCAAUUAAAGCAUUUUUAAAAUCAGAAUUUCCAAUAGUACAUGAAAUGUUAAAACUCCCUGAAUAUUUUUUCUUAGGUGGCAGUUUAUGUAACAAAACUACGCUGCAUUGUUCUAUCAAAAUAACAUUGUCCAAAUCUGCAAGUUUCUUUUUGCUGUUGCAAACCUCUUUCAAAAAUUUAGCAUAAGAUGGAAUUUUCUUGAUUACAUCCAGCAAUGAAAUGUUGAUUUGAACCUUAGAUAAUGUCUGCAUAAAAUCCUUAAACUGUUGAUCUCUUGCCUUAUGAAUUAAACAUUCAAGAUACGGUAAUGGAGGGUCAUAAACAUGCUCAGAAACCUGUUUUGGGACAGUUUCAGCAUCUGCCAGAUUCUGUUUUAUUGUAUAAUUUGCAAGUUAUGCUGCUAUUUCUGUAUUUUCUGCAGAAAUUUUCACUGCAAGCUAAUCUUUUUUAGUAUAAUUUUCACGAUUGUCAUAACUUUUUCCACACCGUAAAGUCCGAACAACAUUGCAGUCUUCACGUCCUCUUGGAUUAGGCACUGUUUGACAAGGAAAUUUGCCUUUUUCUCUGUUUGAAAUAUGUGUAGCUAACUGUCCAAAUGAUUGCUCCAAACUUUUAAUUGAUGCUUCCACAUUUUGAAAUUUUUGAUUGCUGCCACCUAUAUAUGAUUGAGUUGUUGCUGCCAAUUUAGCAAGUUGAUCAUCCAAAGAUGGUUUGGAUGGUACAAAAGGUUUUUGUGUUUACUGCAAUGGUUUUGCAUGAUUCUGAUUGUCCCCCAAUUUGAAAUUAGGAUGAUCCCUCCAUCUUGGAUUGUAAUGAGUUGCAUAUGCAUCAUUUCUAGGCCUUUGAUAGCUGUUCAUCAUAUUAACAUGUUGCUCAACAAGCUCCGUGUAGGAUUCUUUAUGCGGGCAUCACAUUAUGUCGUGCGUAGCCAUGCUGCAAAUAAUGUAAACGGUGGUUGCUACUGUGUAGAAUUUGCAAUUUGUUGUAAAAGAAUGUCAAAUUUUGCAUUAAUUUUCUUUUCCAUUUUUUUCAUUUGUGUAGACAUGUUAGGAAAACCUGCUGAUAACUAAAAAAUGCCCCUUUUCUAUGAAUGUUUUGCUGCCCAAUGUUGACAUUAUGUAGCCAUCAUAUCAAAUCAUUCAAACGCCUCUCUUGCAUAUUUAUUUGACAACAAUCCUCCAGUUGAGGCAUUAACAUGGCUCUUAGAUAUAGGAUUAAGCACAUCAAAGAAAAUAUUCAUUUGUGUAUUUGAAUCAAUAUUAGCAUGUGGACAAUUCAUGUACAUCUCUUUAUAUCUCACCCAUGCUUCAUGAAACUCUUCGUUCAGCUUUUGAGAGAAUGUCAUAAUCUCCCGCUUGUAAUUCAAUUUCUUAGAUGCUGGAUAAUACUUGUUUAGUAAUUUUGUAUGUAAUUGUUGCCAAGUGGUAAUGCUACUAGUCGGUAGAGUAAAUAACCAAGUUUUCGUCUUAUCCUUCAAAGUAAAAGGAAAAAGACGUAACUUAAUAACCUUGGCAGAAAAACUCCUGAUCAAAAUAUUUUUGCAACCCACAAUAAAUUUUGCAAUAUGAAUGUUUGCGUCUUCAUUAGGCAACCCACAAAAUGUUGGUAAAAUUUCAAGCUUGUGGUGCUUGAUCUUGAAUGCUUCUCCUUCUUCCUGGGCAAGAUAGACAAUACAAUUAGGAACAUCGUUUACACGGGCAGCCAACGAAUAUUUGAGUGGUUUGCCUCCUUAAGGUAAUGCUAACGCCAUUGUAACCUCUCUGUCCACAAAAUCAGCAAAUAAAUUAUGCAAAAAAGUGUCGUGCAUUGAACAGUCCCAUGCCAAAUUAGUUUCUCUUUGUUGUUGUCGCAGUGUGUGUUCUGGUUCUGGAUAAAACUGAGCAAUCUGGGCAAAUUUUGAUCCGAUCUGGACCAUAAAGUUUGUAGAAUCUACAAUCAAACGAAAAUAGCAAAAUAAUCUGAAUUAAAAUAUUGUUUUUUAUUUUUUUUAUUUGUGCAAAAAAUAAUUAAUUAGGGAAGGUCUAAACAAAAAUUAUCUAAAAUAAUCCCCAGCUACGACAUCAAUUUCUUGAUGGGAUUUUUACCGUCUACGAAAAGAAGGUUAAAAUCACACAAAACACUUGCAAGAAUACAAGAUUAUUGUAGUACAGAUAUUCAUGCAAGGUCGUUCUCCUCAAUGACUAUUUUAAUAAUUUAUGUAAAAACAAUUCCUAAUUAACUACUUAUAAUUAAAAAUUGAGAAAAAAGAUUUUGACUUUGGGUAAUAUUAAAAACGAAUUUUAAUUAACUACUAAUAAUAAAUUUCCCCAAAACUAAUACGAUAAAAGAAAAGAGUUUUAAAUACCAAUUUAUAAAAGCACUAGGGUCCACCAUCACCUAACAAACCUAUGAAUUUUUAUCAAUUACUUAUGAUCUACACAUGCUACUUUGAAGGUUAGGUUUUCCUAAUAUAUAUUUUACUUUGAACCUCCAACAUAGAACGUAUAUCUAACAUGCAAUCCGUCCAGAUGUUCGGAUCAAAUAUGAAUACGAGAGACUCAUUAUGCUUUAUGAAAACCCUUUGAAAAAUCAUACAACCCUUAAGACGUGAUGUUCAUCUUAAGUGAUAUUACAAUUAUUAAUCACAAGAAGCCAACGUCAAUUUCAGGAAACCUUCCGACCAAAAUUGAAUUAAAUUACUUUUCUAAAGAUCUUAAUGCUGAUCAGGUAUUAAGAGAAUUAGAUAGUUUAAAACAGUGAUCAAUAAUUCAAAGUAUCCAUGCAAUCAAUCAUAAGCAAUUAAAUAAAAAUUACAUAUUCAUGCUAAGGCUCAAGGCUUCGCCCUAGCAAAAUAAAUUAGUUAUGCAUAUUCAUAAUUAAAAUCAUAGAAAAUAUUAUUAUGAAGAAAAAGAACGAAAACACCUUAAAGUAGAAAAGCUAAAAACCUUUGAAAACCCUAGCAAUUCUUCCAAAGUUGCAUAAAAGAAAACGUAAAACAAAAUAGGAUCGGUUGAAACCUUUUAAAUCCCAUCUAAAAAGCAUUGCACAAUCCUAAAAAACCAGGUCCUUUAUUCCAACUAGGAAACUAAAAAUAAUAGUAAAAUAUCUUAAAAAAUAAAGUUUUAAUUAAGUUAGGGGAAUCUGCUAAGUACUUGUCUAGCCACGUUUUAGCCUCAAAUAUCCUCCAAAUCCGGCCCAUGAUAGCUUGUUUUGAAGAUUAGGACGUUCUAAACAAUCUCUAGAAGGCCACAAACCCAUCCGAGGUCAUCUUGGACUCACAAAAACGCAAUUCAAGCUCAAAACGUCACUAUUUCAACACCGCGCAUUGCUCAUUUAUUUUAUUGCCAGAAAAUAACCUCUUGGUGGAAAAUUUUGAUAUUUUGACACGAUCGAGCCAAGUAACUCAUGAACGUCCUCCAACUGAAAUUACUUCAAAAUUCGUCCAUUUGACCAUGUUUUACUCUAUAGGAAGUCAAAAAUCUUAUAUUCAAAAUACAAUUUAAAGUAUCAAAAUUCUUUCAAAAUAAUAACUAAAAUAUACUAAGAUUAAGGUUAAAUAUAUAAUAUAAAAUCUACUCAUCACCUACAACAGUGGCACACUUGUUCUCACCACUUGAGCCUCUCCUUGGCACUGAGACCAGGCUCGAUCAACUAGGACCGAACCUUACUUGAUGGCUCAUCGCCAUUUUUUAAAAAGCAUCAUAAUAUCUCAGCGAUCGUCGUCUCAAUCUUCCGACGAUUAGCGAUGGAUUUCAGUUAUCGAGGGACGAGUUUGAACUCGUCAGAUUUGAGGAUACCAGUAUUUUUACAUACUAAUCUCUCGAAAAUCCGUUGUAAAUCAUGAUGUUGUGGUAGUUAAAAUGAAUAAUAUUUCGAAGUGUUAAAAAAACUGAAUUUACAAUGUCUUUUAACAUCACACAGAUAAAACUUUGAACAUAACGACACUUACAACUCCGGAGCGUACGAGAAAAGCCAAAAAUAACAAGAUGAAAAUUGAUCAUUUUAGCAAUCGGAAACUGUAAAUUGACCGAUAACAGGGGGGCGGGAUGAAGCAUCAUUUCGGGGACAAAAAAGUUCAAAGAGGGUUGUUUUCAUAUAUACCGGAGACGAACAUGUAUCGGAGCAUAAAAAAUAGUCUACAUAUAAGUCAAUUGAUAUCUUAAAGACGUUAAGAAUCCCAGCACAUGUCCAGUGUAGAGUUGGAGUGAAGGCAACGUUGGAACAAAGCUUAAGAACAUAAAAAGUAUUAGCAUUUAUAGACACACACAUUAUUUAGACACACAACUACGCCUUAGUCUUCGGUAUCAAGAUUCAAGACAUACAAGAUGUACUGAAAGCAAGCAAAGCAGCAUACACACUCGGGUUAGUACCGGAAGAUUUCAAUACCACAAACUAUUUACUUGUUUAGGAGUGGUCUGCCUCCAUAUGAUUCAGACUGAAGGCGCCUUCCAUAUUCUUAUGCACUUCAGCUUUAAACUUCUCUUCUUUGCUUCCCCUUUUCACCUUCAGAAGCAUGUUAAACUUUGCAUGCUCUUCUAUCACCUGCUGCCCACAGUUUAAUCAUAUACACAAAUCAAUACAUUAAUCCCGUCGAUCCCAACGAUGAUGUCAAACAGACCUCAAAACAGAGAAGAAUGAACAAAUCGACUUGUAUACCGCAUUAUACAAAACAAUUUGAAGUUGAAAGCAAAAUUGACAAGAAAACAAUGUGUUUAUUUUGUUUUAAUCUUCUGAAUUACCUAAAGGUUAAAUCCAAAUUUCCUAUUCCAAUUCUCUAAAAUACAUUUAAAUAGAAUUUCCUUACUCAAUUCUCCACAACCAAAUCCUGGUCCCAUUACACAACUACUCGCAUUUGAAAGAGAUUUUUUAAAGUGUGCCUGAAACACGAGCACAUAGGCCAAGCGGAGGGACACUUGAAAAAAAUAUCCAUCCACUUGUAUAAUAACAUCUGGCAUGCCGUCCCAUUUUCCGAGCACACUGAAAAACCUCUCCACAUUUAAAUGAACUUGAACACCCAUUCCAACAAAACCAAAUACUACCCCCCCCCCCCCCCCAAAUCCUCAAUUCUCCAAAAUGCAAAAAAAUCGACUUUCAUACUCUGAUUCAGCACAAACCAACCCCCUAAUACCCAAUUCUUCGAAAUCCCUUUCAGACACAACAAAUAACUAUACACAAUACCCAAUUCUCAAAUUCAUUUAGUUGGAUUUGAAUACCCAAUUCAACACAAACAAAUACUAACCCCCAAUACUACAGAGUGGAAAAUCAAAAGAAGGAAAUGAAAAGGCACAAACCUCAGCCUUGGCGUGAACAACUUCUAGAAGCUCAUAAGGCAACAAGGAAUUAGACUUCUGCUGGAGGGACUUAACAGCGUGGUUAGCCGCAUCCUGCACCUGCGGGUCAUGCGGCGGCACAGAUUGCCACCCAGGAGGAUGCCCACCUUGCUUGGCACCAAGAUCGGAAGAGGUAACGGAUGGUGUCUCCUCCUCAUCAGCCUGCUUGAACUCCUGCUCUUCUUUGAAGCCCAUCCAAGGCUUCACCCACACCUUCGCUUCGUACAGCUUCUUCUUGCCGGCCUCGAUCGCCUCGAUCGUCAGAUGGUGCAGAGUUCCGGCAACCACCUGCUCUUUCGCCUUCACAACCCUCACAAAUUCGAGCAGGGCAUUCUGAACCAUAAUAAUUUAAUUAAUCAAUCAAUAAAUUAAUCGAAAUUGUAGCAUAAUUAGGUAAAGGAAAAGGUCAGGAGGGUAAACUAUGUACCUCCUUGUUAUUGUGCUCUUGGACGGCGAAGCGAGCGAGGUCUUCAACUUCGGCGCUGUUCUGGACGCCGCGGGAUUCUUGGAUUCCGCCGACUGUGUCCAUUUUCCGGUGUUGGGAACUGUGGCCGCAGCCAAUUCGGGUUGAUUUUUGUGCGGUAGUGGAAGGGAAAGCGAGGAGGAGGAGGAGGAGGAAGAAGGGAGCAAUUAAUAGAGAGAGGUAAGAUUCCGAUUUCAUCUGGCCUUUUUGGGUUUGGGGAUUUUUUCGACGGUUUCUCUGCAAAUUCGGAUAUUUUUCUUUCGGUCAUCAGGUUUUUAUGAUACGUGUCAAACACGUGUCGAUUCUGCACCAUCUUUGCUUACUAUGUAAGCUUUCGAAAUGGGAUUGAGAUCCUCUUCUUGGCUAAGGAUGAUGAUUUUCCUGACCUAACUCAUAUGAUUGUUUAAAUUUUAUCAACGAUUACAAACAUAAAGUUUUUCUAAAAGUUAUAAUAACUGUAACAGUUGAAUAAAAUUUGAACGAUCCGAUGAGCUUGAUCAAGAGGACCAUCACCCUUACCUUAGUAGUGGAUCCUAAUCUCUCUCUAUAUACUUUUGUGAGAGGACGGAGGAUCCUCUUUUUUUUUUUCUUUUUUUUUUUGACAAAGGAGAACGAUAUUAAUCCAACCAAACACAACUACAACAUAACAACAAAGGCCCACGGAGGAUCCUCUUUUUUGUGAGGAUCCUAAAGAUCAAUUCAUAUUACAUAUUCAUUAUAUCAUGCGAUUAGCUUUCGU